rnacentral:lncRNA from 1 species
ACCUCUCAAGUUAGUCAAAACGGUCUUAGGGACCCAAAUAGCAUAGAACCGGAAUGCGUUUCGAGGACCAACAAAUUUUGCAAAGACUUCUCCAUCCUUAGUCUUACGAAGUACAUAGGAUGGAGGCAUGAACUCUUUAGGCUUGUUGAGAGUGGGCAUGCCCCUUGUGGCCUUCCCACUCGCAACCUUACCUUUAUCCUUUUGCCCUUCUCUUACAAAUGUUUCUUUUAGAGGAGUUAUGCACUUUUGAGAGGACGUCUUCUUCUUGCUUGUGCUUGGGUCAAACCCAAGUCCCUGUUUGGCAAACACCUCAUUGUGUUGACUCAAUAUCUCAUCAAGAUUCUUUUGCCCUUGAGCACAUGUCAUGAGACCUUUCUCGAUUUGAGCCUUUAGAAAACGAUUUUCCUCAAGAAUAGAUGCUAGAUCACUACUAGAAUUAGUAGUACAAGCAUCAUCAUUGAUAAUAGGAGAAGAGUAAGCCUUGGCUAGUGUUUGAAGCUAAGUACGUUUGAGUGUCUCAAAACUCUUUGUAAGAACGGAGAGCUCUUCUUCCUUAGUCUUGAGAGACACGGAUAGAAGCACACAAUCCUUAGAUAGAAGCAUGAGACUUUACAAGCUUACUUUUAUCAUUCAUUAACUCUUCACAAGAGUCAAUAGCCUUUUUCAAGGAGGCAAGAUCAUUAGUGUGAACAUCAAUAUUUGCACCAAUUUUUAAGCAUAAUUCAUCAUUUUGUGCUUCUUCAUAUUGGACUUUCCGCUCAAGGAUUUCAUUCCUUUUCCUCAAUGACGAGGGUUUCGAGUUCAUUAAUGGUGAUGGUGUGCUUACUCACCAUCUCCAUAAGCAUACGAAACAUAGUGAGCUUCUUUACUUUGAGCGAGCACAUGAACUUAUUAAGUUUAGCAAUUAUAGGAUCAUCUAGAUCAUCAUCCUCAUAACUAUCCUCUGCAUCAAGAUACUCAUCACUAGGAGUAGAAGGAGUGAAGAAAGGAGGGUUUGAUCGUGGAGUUACCUUGAUCUUGUCAGAAGAGCUUUGGUCCUCUCCAUCUUCAACCAUGGUUGUCGGUGUCAAAACCGGCGGAUCUCGGGUAGGGGGUCCCGAACUGUGCGUCUAGGCGGAUGGUAAUAGGAGACAGGGGACACGAUAUUUUUACCCAGGUUCGGGCACUCUCGAUGGAGGUAAAACCCUACUCCUGCUUGAUUAAUAUUGAUGAUAUGGGUAGUACAAGAGUAGAUCUACCACGAGAUCAGAGAGGCUAAACCCUAGAAGCUAGCCUAUGGUAUGAUUGUUGUUCGUCCUACGGACUAAAACCCCCCGGUUUAUAUAGACACCGGAAAGGGCUAGGGUUACACAGAGUCAGUUACAAUGGGAGGAGAUCUUCAUAUCUGUAUCGCCAAGCUUGCCUUCCACGCCAAGGAAUGUCCCAUCCGGACACGGGACGAAGUCUUCAAUCUUGUAUCUUCAUAGUCCGGGAGUCUGGCCAAAGGUUAUAGUCCGGCCAUCCAGACACCCCCUAAUCAGGGACUCCCUCAGUAGCCCCCGAACCAGGCUUCAAAGACGACGAGUCUGGCGCGCAAAUUUGUCUUCGGCAUUGCAAGGCGGGUUCUUCUCCAAAUCCCAUAUACCUGUUGAAUACUGUCCGGCUUCUGGUGAAUGUUGUGCUCCUUGGCUUCUGCGCCCAAUAAUGGCCGUCUUCCACAUGUCAAACCAAUGCGAAAAGCCAGGGUGUUUUUUCAUUUACCUCCCUAGCUGUGCAAAUGAGCUGCCUAUAAAAGAGACAGGGAUUUAGAUUCGAAUCACACCAUCCUUCCUUCGCGAGCUUUCAUCGGAGCGCAUUCGACAGAGAUCCAUUCCAUCAUGGCCGAUCGACGCAGCUCCUCCUCUUGCCCUCCCAGUCCUCAGCCUGGAUAUUGGGAGAGAUGCUCCGUCCCGCACAGGAGCUAGUGGCGCUCCAAGCCAAGGGGUUACUCCCCCCGGCCUACAUGGUCCCGGUUCGAGCCGGGCUCGCCACCUAUAAUGGUGGAGAGCAAGCGAAGAGCGUCCCCAAUCCCUCCAAAGGAGAGCGGGUAUGCCUUGUCCCUUAUUUGAUAAGAGUGCUCGGAUUUUCACUUCAUCCGUUUCUCCGGGGGCUCCUGGAGUUCUACGGCCUCCAGUUGCACAGCCUUAUGCCUGCCUCCGUAUUGCAUAUUGCGGGCUCCGUAGCCCUUUGCGAGCUGUUUUUGGGUGUCGAGGCUCAUUUCACGCUGUGGAAGAAGAUGUUCUGCCUCGUGCCCCGUUCUCAUGAGGGGUCGAUAUAUCAAGUGGGCGGAGCCAAACUAUGGCGCAUCGCCGGGACCGGAUACCUAUUCGGAACCCCAAAGAAGGCGUCUGAAGACUGGCCUUCAGAAUGGUUUUAUAUAGAAGACAUCCCCUUGCCGGACCCUGUUCGGAUCGGCCUCCCCGAGUUCGACAAUGCUCCUCUGAAGAAGCGCCUAAGCUGGCGUCCAUGGAGCCCUCAGAGGGAAAGUGACAAGGACGUCCUUUACCUGAUGAACCGGAUAAGGUUGUUAGCCCAUUCCAGACUAACCAUGAUCGAGGUCAUGGCCACAUGCAUUAUGCGGGGGGUGCAGCCGCUUCAGUACAGAGGCCACCCCAUGUGGGAUUUCAACGGGGAGGACGACGCCACCCGGUGCGGCCGCAAGGGGCCAGAUUUGGCUGCCACUCUAAUGAAGAUCUUGUCCUCUUUGUACAAGGGAGAAGAGGAGGAAUUCCUCCGAGUCAACCCACGGGGCGGAUUUUCUAUGUACAACCCUCCAAGCUGGGUAAGCGAACACUUUCACUUGCCCAUCCGUUUUCAUAUUCCCAUAGUUAAGUACUUAGCCUAGCAAUUUUAACAUAGGAGCUACGCCAGACUGUAAAGGAGAUAAACAGCCCUCCUCCACAACCCGAGGACCCAGAACAGUCCCUCGAUCCGGACUCCCAAGAGGACCCGGACUUAUGUGUGGAGCUGAUUGAUGGGGUGUUUCAUGAAUUGAGCAAGGACAACACCUUAGUGGCCAUUAUGGCCAAUUAUCCCGGACUACUUCCCGCCCCACAAGUAACCAAGACCGAAGUCCCAGCACUCUUAAAAUGAUUCAUCCGUGCUUAUUUUUGAUCAUCGUAUACCGAUGGCGUCUUCGCAGGGGAAGUCUUUGAGGCGGAGGGCCGAGCCUGCGGUGGCUAGCCAACACGGGGCAUCAAGGUCCGGCGGGCUCAAAAGAAGUGCGGUCCGGAUUGAGACGCCGGCGCAACGGUAAGUCGUGCCAUUUUGUCCCUCGGGUUUUAUUCCCUCGAGGCGUACCAAUGCUCAUGCUCUUUUCAGGAAAAAGAGCGCUCGCCGGACUAUAUCCGGAGAGGUUGCCGAUCGCGCCUCCACCGACCAGGCUCCAAGGCCGGGUCCGGAAGCGGAGGCGAGCACGAGGCGCGCACCGGACGUUCCUCCGACAAAGGAUGCGGACGGGCUGUCUGCCACCAAUUCAGAGGUGGAGAGUGCCAUGAACCACAGGCGUCGCCGGACAGUUCCUCGUGACGCUUGUUUCUCCCAAGAGGCGUUAGAUGCCUUCAAUACGGGAGAUGCGUAGCUCCGUGCCGCUCAAAAUGGUCUAGCCAGAGCCACAGAGCAGUAUGUAAAAGACAUAUGGGUGAUAAAAUUUGAUGGUUAUAUAUAUAUCAGUAGCCCCCGAGACUUGAAACAGUUAGAAUAACUAAUUUAAGGAUCAUUUGUUAUGCAGGAUCUUACAGAAAAGAAUACCCAACUGUCCCAGGAACUGGAAGAGUGCAAAGCCCAACUUGAGGCCGCACUAGCCGCGGCGGGGGAGGCCAAGGAGACCCCCUCUGGUAAUAUAUGCUUCAAAAGAUAAGUAUGUUGCAAAGUGCGGCACGUGUACAAGUCUGACAAUAACAUUGCAGAUGGCGCCGGAGUGGAUCCGGACAAACAACAACUCUUAUGUCGGUUAAAGGCCGGUGAGAGCGUCCUUACGAGGGUGAGGCAAGAGAAGAAUAAGCUCCAAGAUGCCAACACCCAGCUGGGCGAGGAGCUAAAGGACGUUUGUGCUCAGCUGUCGGACUCCAUGAAGGAGAAUCAGCGGCUUCGACGCGGCAUUUUUAGUAAGUGCUUGAACGAAGUACGAAAAGAAGAGUUCGACGAGGAAGUCGAUUGACAGAGUUAUGUCUGUAGGUAUGAUGACAGGUCGACCUGCAAAGGAAAUGCCCGGUUCUAUGGGUGACCUUCUUCCCGAGCUCUCACAACUGCACGAACGAGUUCGGCAGGUGAUGCAAGGCCUCGCCUAGGCCUUGUGGCCGUCCGUCUCCAUGCCCGAAGGCCUUGGAGAGCUUGCAGAGAAGCUGAAGGGAGCGCGGCGUCACUUUCGAUUAUGGAAGAUAUCGGCCUGCCGUCAAGGCACCAGGGAGGCCUGGGCCAUGGUGAAGACGCGGUACACGAAGGCUGACCCAAACCACAUGGCCGAGGUCGGACCUGUGGGGCCCGAUGGGAAGGAGAUCCCUGUCAGUUUAGUGUACGGCCAGGUAGAGUUGGCCGCCAAAUAUUCCCAACAGGACUGUAAACUAGACAGCCUAUUGGAUGGUAUUGAAGAGGAAUAUACCCAGUCACAUUGACUGUGUAAUUUAAAAUGACAUGUAAAAUGCCUUCUACCCGGAUUGUAGAUUGUUUGUCAUGGCGGACCUUUUCGCUUCGACCUCGGGACUCGAUAGUCCGGAGUGUGUCCUAAUACCCUCUCGGUUAUGUAAGAACCGGGGCAUGCGUGGAGACCAGGCGUAGGGGUCAUUAGUGCUUUAUCAGACAAGUGCCCAACUAGUUAUGUUAUAUUACAUGGCUAGUAAGAAACAUCUUCCAGGAAGAAUAGUUCCGUUAGGGGUUCCUUUCCCUGGGAGGCAUGCCCUAAAGUGCAUGUCCGGACUGCGAAAAAAGCAGAAAAGCAUCUGGGGGCGGAUAAAUAAACGAGGUAAAAAUCAUCUUUUAGUUCACCCACCGAAUAUUCACUUAAGAACGCUAGCUUUCGGCUUCACCCAGUCUGAGGUACACAUCCGGCUGACCCGGCAGUAACAAUCGCAGAGGUGCUCCCUUUACCACCUAGCCGAACAAUCAGGAACAUAGGGGUAAGCACAGGAGCCAGGCAACCCAGCUUGGCCAAAACUUAAGUCAUAUCGAUGCAUAUAAUGGUGAAUAAAAUGUACAUGCGGAAGUGUGACACAUGUGUUGGGCAUGAGGCCCGUAGAAUCAAGCUUCUAUUAAAGAAGCCCCCAGGUAUAAUGAGCGCGGAUAGCGCGUCGAUUGUUUGCAAACAAGGCACAAACGAGCCCUCAAAGGCUGUAAGAGAAAAGGAGGGAGAAGGAGAGAAAUAUAAGACAACUAAUAUGUAAAAAAUGGAUAGAGGAAGGAGACGAACACAGAGUCCGGCGCUUAUGCGUAGAAUCUUCUUAGACGGGCUGUGUUCCAUGGGUUCGGCUCGAGUCGGUUAUCCAAUGAAUUUCGCAGACGAUACGCUCCGCCAAUCAGGACUUGGUCGAUUAUGAAGGGGCCUUCCCAUUUGGGCUUGAGUUUGUCCUUUUUCUUGUCCGGCAAUCAUAGAACUAAUUCGCCAACAUUGUAAGUUUUGGCCCGUACUUCUCUGCUUUGAUAUCUUCGAGCCUGCUGUUGAUGGAAUGCGGAAUGGGCUUUUGCCACGUCGCGCUCCUCCUCCAAGGCGUCCAAACUGUCCUGCCGAUCGAGUUCGGCUUCUCUUUCUUCGUACAUGCGCACGCGAGGUGAGUCAUGAAUUAUGUCACAGGGCAGAACUGCCUCUGCGCCGUAUACCAUAAAGAAUGGUGUGAAUCCGGUAGUGCGAUUCGGCGUGGUCCACAGCCCCCAGAGUAUGGAGUCGAGCUCCUCUACCCAGUGCAUGUUAGAUUCCUUGAGGGACCGCACUAGUCUGGGUUUGAUGCCGCUCAUGAUUAGACCAUUUGCUCGCUCGACUUGACCGUUAGUUUGUGGGUGAUAGACUGAAGCGUAGUCGAGCUUGAUGCCCAUGUUUUUGCACCAGAUUUUUACCUCAUCGGCCGUAAAGUUCGUGCCGUUAUCAGUGAUGAUGCUGUGGGGGACGCCAUAACGGUGUACGACCCCUGAUAUGAAGUCUAUCACUGGUUCGGAUUCGGCCGUCUUAACAGGCUUGGCCUCUAUCCAUUUGGUGAAUUUGUCCACCAUGACCAGUAAGUAUCUUUGCUUGUGGGUUCCCCCUUUAAGGGGUCCAACCAUGUCAAGCCCCCAGACCACAAAGGGCCAGGUGAUGGGUAUAGUUUGGAGGGCGGUGGGUGGCAUAUGGCUUUGGUUAGCAAAUAAUUGGCAACCGACGCAUCGUUGGACUAAGUCCUGAGCAUCUGCCCGGGCCGUCGACCAAUAGAAUCCAGUACGGAAGGCCUUGCUUACAAGGGCUCGGGCUGUGGCAUGGUGCCUGCCGAGUCCGGCAUGAAUCUCAGCCAGGAGAUUUCGCCCUUCCUCUUCGGAGAUACACCUUUGAAGGACUCCGGUGGUGCUUUUCUUAUAAAGCUCUCCCUCAUGGACUUUAUAGGAUUUAGAUCGUCGCACUAUGCAGCAUGCCUCGUUUUGGUCCUCUGGAAGUUCCUGCCUGGUUAAGUAGGCUAGGAAUGGUUCUGUCCACGGGGCAAUGACUGCCAUUAUUACGUGGGCUAAAGAUGUUACUUCAUUGGCAGAGCCUCCCGUUAUGUCAGAAUGUUCGGUGUCAGGCGGUGUGGUUGGGUCCGGGCUGUUAUUUCCGGAUUCCCCUUCCCAUGAUACGGAUGGCUUGAAUAGCCUCUCCAAGAAAAUGUUGGGGGGGACUGCAUCACGCUUUGCGCCAAUGCGUGCCAACACGUCUGCUGCCUGAUUGUUUUCCCGGGCUAUAUGGUGAAAUUCAAGCCCUUCGAACCGAGCUGACAUUAUUAGGACGGCGUUGCGAUAAGCUGCCAUUUUUGGAUCAUUGGCAUCAAAGUCUCCAUUUAUUUGGGAUAUGGCGAGGUUCGAGUCCCCACGCACCUCUAGGCGUUGAAUGCCCAUAGAGACUGCCAUCCGGAGACCGUGUAGAAGGGCCUCGUAUUCGGCUGCGUUAUUGGAGUCUGUAUACAUUAUUUGGAGUAUGUAUUGAACUGUAUCUCCUGUUGGGGACGUCAAAAUGACGCCAGCCCCCAGACCAGCUAGCAUUUUCAAGCCGUCGAAGUGCAUGAUCCAAUUGGAAUAUGUGUCGUACUCUUUAGGGAGUUCGGCUUCAGUCCAUUCGGCGACGAAGUCGGCCAAAACUUGCAACUUGAUAGCUCGUCGUGGCUUGUAGGUUAUGUCGAACGGGAGGAGCUCAAUGUCCCAUUUGGCAAUCCGGCCCGUCGUGUCGCGGUUGUUUAUAAUGUUGUUAAGAGGUACUUCGGAGGCUACUGUUAUUGAAGACUCUUGAAAGUAGUGUUGCAGCUUACGGGAUGCCAUAAACACUGUGUACGCUAUCUUUUGAUAAUGUGGGUACUGUGACUUGCAUGGAGUGAGGACAGUGGACACGUAGUAGACUGGCUUUUGAAGGGGGAAUUUGUGUCUGUCUGUUUCUCGUUCAAUGACGAGUACUGCGCUUACAACUUGAUGAGUUGCUGCAAUGUAUAAUAGCAUUGGUUCGCUGAUAUUAGGUGCGGCCAGGACCGGGUUUGUUGCCAAUAUGGCUUUUAUUUCUUCGAGUCCAGCCGUGGUGGCAUCCAUCCACUCAAAGUGUUCGGUGCACCGGAGGAGGCGAUAAAGGGGUAAUGCCUUUUCUCCCAAGCGGGAGAUAAAGCGGCUUAGAGCCGCCAUGCAUCCAGUCAAUUUUUGUAUCUGUUUGAGGUCUUUUGGAAUGUCCAAUUGUGACAGAGCUCGGAUCUUGGAUGGGUUUGUUUCAAUUCCUCUACCGGAUACAAUGAAGCCCAAGAGCUUUCCGGCUCGUAUGCCGAAAACGCAUUUUUCUGGAUUAAGCUUGAUGUCAUUUGUCCGGAGGUUAUCGAAUGUGAGCCUCAAGUCGUCCACUAGAGUUUCGACAUGCUUGGUCUUGACAACCACGUCAUCUACGUAUGCCUCCACUAUUUCACCGAUCUGGUUUGCCAGACAUGUCUGUAUCAUGCGCUGAUAUGUUGCGCCGGUGUUUUUGAGCCCGAAGGGCAUUGUGUUGAAACAGAAUGGGCCGUAUGGGGUGAUGAAUGCCGUUGCGGCUUGGUCUGGCUCUGCCAUCUUGAUUUGAUGGUAGCCGGAGUAUGCGUCGAGGAAACACAAUGAAUCAUGUCCUGCAGUGGCGUCGAUAAUUUGAUCGAUGCGGGGGAGGGGGAUUGGAUCCUUUGGGCAAGCCUUGUUGAGGUCCUUGAAAUCGACGCAUAGGCGCGAGGAUUUGUCCUUCUUUGGUACCAUCACUAGGUUUGCUAGCCAAUCCAGAUGUUUUAUAUCUCUGAUGAAUCCGGCCUCCAGUAGUUUGGCUAGCUCCUCUCCCAUGGCUUGUCUCUUAGGUUCAGAGAAAUGCCAAAGAGCCUGCUUGACAGGCUUGAAUCCUUUUAGGAUGUUUAGGCUGUGCUCGACCAGCCUGCGUGGGAUUCCUGGCAUGUUUGAAGGGUGCCAGGCGAAAAUGUCCCAAUUUUCGCGUAGGAAUUCUUGUAGUGCAGCGUCUACAUCAGGGUUUAAUUGAGCCCCGAUGGAGGCCGUUUUUGUAGGGUCCGUUGGAUGGACUUGGAAUUUGACUAUUUCGUCCGCCGGUUUAAAGGAGGUGGACUUGGAGCUUUUAUCGAGUAUUACGUCGUCCCUGUUCACCGAAGAGCGCAGUGCAGUCAGUUCUUCGGCCGCUAGGGCUUCGGAUAGUGCCUCAAGGGCCAGUGCGGCUGUCUUAUUUUCGGCGCGGAGUGCUAUGUCCGGGUCACUAGCAAGAGUGAUGAUCCUGUUGGGUCCGGGCAUUUUGAGCUUCAUGUACCCGUAAUGGGGUAUAGCUUGAAAAAUUGUGAAUGCCUCUCGCCCUAAUAGAGCGUGGUAUCCGCUGCUGAACGAGGCCACUUGGAACGUGACCUCCUCAGAUCUGUAAUUAUCCAGCGUGCCGAACACCACAUCCAGUGUGAUUUUUCCUGUACAGCACGCUUCCCGACUGGGGAUUAUUCCUCUGAAGGUUGUGUUGCUUCUCUCAAUGCGGCUCCAGUCUAUUUCCAUUUUUCGAAGGGUUUCCUCAUAGAUGAGGUUCAAUCCGCUGCCACCGUCCAUGAGUACCUUGGUAAGUCGAAAGCCGUCCACUAUCGAACUGAGGACCAAUGCGGCUGGUGCUUGGGCUGUUCGGAAUUUAGGUUCAUCACUGGCAUUAAAGGUAAUAGCCGUGUCACUCCAUGGGUUUAUUGUUGCUACUUGGUAGACUUCGGCAAGGCUGCGGAGUGUUUGUUUCUGCAUAUUAUUUGAUGCGAAAGUCUCGAAGACUGUUAAUACCGUACUGGUAUCCCUGGGGUGGUGCUCUGUGAAUUCUGGAUUUAAAAGCUCCUCGCCACUUUUGGCCACCUGCCGGAGUAUCCAACAUGCUCUAAGGCUGUGAGUUGGUGCGGCGUCCUCUAUACUAUGAAUUUUACAGGGUCCAUUGAGCCAUCCCUCCAGUACGGUUCCAUGCCCUAUAGAGGGUUUUUGUUUUUUGGUGUUUGACCCCGGUGCCUGGCGAUAAUGCAUCGGUUUAUUUCGGACUGGGGUUGUAUUCAGGGCCGGAUCGUCCCAGAAUUUUAUUUUGGUUUUCCGGACACUUUCCAUCGCACAGUAUUUUCGUACUAUGGAUGCCAAGUCAGCGAAGUGUGUAAUCUCACGGCGACUUAUGCUGUUGAGGAUUCCGAUGUCCAUGCAAUUAUUGCAGAAGAAUGAAAUUGCAUCCUCCUCGCGGCAGUCCUCUACCCUAUUCAUAACCAGUAGGAAUCUGGCCCAGUAAUGGUGUACUGUUUCCGUGGGCUCUUGCCAGAUUUGGGAUAGAUCCCUUAUAUUUGGGUGGGCGGGUGGAGUUAAAUCCGGAACCUCGCCCGAUCUGAGGCUCAGGGGCCGAGGAGUUUCCGACCUCGGAAGCUUAGGUUCUUGGAUGUUGUCCAAUGAAUCUGGCCCAUUGCUUGACUUUAGGUUCAGGGCUUGAGUGACGUCCUCCCCUCCGCGGGUAUCGGGCUUGGAGGGAUCGGGAAUUCGGACAUAACUAGUUGAGGGAGUCCUGGAUUAGGGGGUGUCCGGAUAGCCGGACUAUCAUCAUCAGCCGAACAAUCAUCGGCCGGACUAUCAUCAUCGACCGGGCUCCAAGACUAUGAAGAUACAAGAUUGAAGACUUCGUCCCGUGUCCGGAUGGGACUUUCCUUGGCGUGGAAGGCAAGCUUGGCGAUACGGAUACGUAGAUCUCCUACCAUUGUAACCAACUCUAUGUAACCCUAGCCCUCUCCGGUGUCUAUAUAAACCGGAUGGCUCUAGUCCGCAGGACACAACGACAACCAUUACAAUCAUACCAUAGGCUAGCUUCUAGGGUUUAGCCUCCUUGAUCUCGUGGUAGAUCCACUCUUGUAAACAUCCACAAUAUCAAUAUCAAUCAAGCAGGACGUAGGGUUUUACCUCCAUCAAGAGGGCCCGAACCUGGGUAAAACAUCGUGUCCCUUGUCUCCUGUUACCAUCCGCCUAGACGCACAGUUCGGGACCCCCUACCCGAGAUCCGCCGGUUUUGACACCGACAUUGGUGCUUUCAUUGAGAGUUCCUCUGUGUCGUCACCGAUAGGCUUGAUGGCCUCUUCAAUCGACAACGACGCAGUCCUGGGUGAGACUUUUCUCCCCGGACAGAUCUUCGUAUUCGGCGGCUUCGCACUGCGGGCCAACUCACUUGGCCAUCUGGAGCAGAUCGAAAGCUACGCCCCUGGCCGUCAGGUCAGGUUUGGAAGCCUAAACUUCACGGCCGAUAUCCGGGGGGACUUAAUCUUCGAUGGAUCUGAGCCACAGCCGAGCGUGCCGCGCUGUCACGAUGGGCACGACCUAACUCUGCCGCCGGACAGCACCUUGGAGGCCGCACAUGAAUCCGCUCCGACCCAUAGUCCGGAGCCGAUCGCUCAGAUCGAGGACGGAUGGCUGGACACCGCCUCGGGAGCUGCAACUUCUACGGCGAUGGAGCCAAACACUUACCUUGUCCCGCAUAAAGCUCAUGACUCCGAGGUGCCGGACUCUCUGCCGGACUCCGAACCUCCUGCGCCCCUGCCGGUCGAAUUCGACUGGGCGCCGAUCAUGGAAUUCACCGCUGCGGACAUCUUUCAGCACUCACCCUUUGGCGAUAUCUUAAAUUCGCUGAAGCAUCUCUCGCUAUCCGGAGAGCCCUGGCCGAACUACGGCCAGGAUGGUUGGGAUGCGGACGACGAAGAAAUUCAGGGCCCACCCACCACCCACUUCGUAGCCACCGUCGACGAUCUAACCGACGUACUCGACUACGACUCUGAAGACAUCGACGGUAUGGACGACGAUGCCGGAGACUAUCAAGAACCAGUGCCUAUAGGACACUGGAAGACCACCUCGUCAUACGAUAUAUAUAUGGUGGACACCCCAAAAGAUGGGGACGGCGAAGAAGCAACGGAGGCCGAUUCCUUAAAGAAACAGCCCAAGCGCCGGCAUCAGCGGCGCCGCUUUAAAUCCCACCACGGCAAGAAUAGAGAUUCCGGCACAGGAGAUAAUAACACCCCAGAAAGUGCCGAAGACAACCCCCUACAGCACGAUCCAGCGUAGGAGGAAGCAGAAGCAAUCCCUCACGAGAGGGCGGCAGACGAAGAGGUCGAGGAUGAUAAUUACUUACCUCCCUCCGGAGACGAGGCAAGCCUCGACGACGACGAAUUCGUCGUUCCUGAGGAUCCCGUCGAACAAGAGCGUUUCAGACGUAGGCUAAUGGCCACGGCAAACAGCCUAACGAAAAAGCAGCAACAGCUUCAAGCUGAUCAAGACCUACUGGCCGACAGAUGGACCAAGGUCCUCACGGCCGAAGAGUAUCAACUCGAACGCCCCUCCAAAAGUUACCCAAAACGCAAGUUGCUCCCCCGACUAGAGGAGGAAGCGUACAAACCGGCAUCACCAGCGCACAAUACGGCAGACCGACCACCUCAUGGCCGCGACAGAGAGGCAUGCAAGCCCUCCACCAAAACCGUACCCCGGCAUCGCUCAAAAAGCAUGAAGCCACGGGGGAACGCGCCGGACUUGCGGGAUAUAUUGGAGGACAAGGCAAGACAAUCCAGAUCUAUCUAUGGAUCACGUGGGCGCCCCAAGACCCACGACGAAUACCGUCGCGCCGGAUACAACUACUCCGGCCGGGCCGAACACAGCAGACAAUGCUCUCUCGAGCUACGUCGCGAUAUUGCUCAAUACAGAGGCGCCGCACACCCACUAUGCUUCACUGACGAAGUAAUGGAUCAUCAAAUCCCUGAAGGGUUUAAACCCGUUAAUAUCGAAUCCUACGAUGGCACAACAGACCCCGCGGUUUGGAUUGAGGAUUAUCUCCUCCAUAUACAUAUGGCCCGCGGCGACGAUCUUCACGCCAUCAAAUAUCUCCCGCUCAAGCUUAAAGGACCAGCUCGGCAUUGGCUUAACAGCCUGCCCACAGAGUCAAUUGGAUGCUGGGAAGACCUGGAAGCCGCAUUCCUCGACAACUUCCAGGGCACGUAUGUGUGACCACCGGACGCAGAUGACCUAAGCCACAUAAUCCAGCAGCCAGACGAAUCGGCCAGGCAAUUCUGGACACGGUUCUUGACAAAGAAAAAUCAAAUCAUCGACUGUCCGGAUGCAGAGGCCCUCGCUGCCUUCAAACAUAACAUCCGUGACGAGUGGCUGGCCCGGCACCUAGGACAGGAAAAGCCAAAAUCCAUGGCAGCCCUCACAUCACUCAUGACCCGCUUCUGUGCGGGAGAGGAUAGCUGGCUAGCUCGCAGCAACAACCUCAGCAAAAAUGCUGGCAGUCCGGAUACCAAGGACCGCAAUGGCAGGUCGCGUCAAAACAAAAACAAACGCCGCAUUAACGGCGACAGCAAUGAGGAUACGGCAGUCAACACCGGAUUCCGAGGCUCCAAGCCCAGGCAACGGAAGAAGCCAUUCAAAAGAACCACUCCGGGCCCGUCCCAUUUGGACCGAAUACUCGACCGCUCCUGUCAAAUACAUGGAACCCCCAAAAAGCGAGCUAACCACACCAACAGCGAUUGUUGGGUAUUCAAGCAGGCAGGCAAAUUAAUCGCCAAAAACAAUGACAAGGGGCUACACAGCGAUGACGAGGAAGAGACCCGGCCAUCGAACAACAGAGGACAAAAGGGAUUCCCCCCUCAAGUUCGGACGGUAAACAUGAUAUACGCAACGCAUAUCCCCAAGAGGGAGCGGAAGCGUGCACUAAGGGACGUAUACGCGAUGGAGCCAGUCGCCCCAAAAUUCAACCCAUGGUCCUCUUGCCCGAUCACUUUCGAUCGAAGAGACCAUCCGACCAGUAUCCGCCAUGGCGGAUUCGCCGCAUUGGUUUUAGACCCAAUCGUCGAUGGAUUUCACCUCACGAGAGUCUUGAUGGACGGCGGCAGUAGCCUGAACCUGCUUUAUCAGGAUACAGUGCGCAAGAUGGGCAUAGACCCUUCAAGGAUUAAAUCUACAAAGACAACCUUCAAAGGCGUCAUACCAGGUGUCGAGGCCAGUUGUACAGGCUCAGUCACACUGGAAGUGGUCUUCGGAUCCCCGGAUAAUUUCCAAAGCGAGGAGUUAAUCUUCGACAUAGUCCCGUUCCGCAGUGGCUAUCACGCUCUGCUCGGACGAACCGCGUUCGCAAAAUUCAACGCGGUGCCACAUUAUGCAUACCUUAAGCUCAAGAUGCCAGGCCCUCGUGGAGUCAUCACGGUCAAUGGAAACACGGAACUCUCCCUCCGAACGGAGGAACAUACAGCGGCUCUCGUGGCAGAAGUACAGAGCAGCCUUUUAAGGCAAUUUUCGAGUCCGGCCGUUAAACGACCGGACACGGCCAAACGCGCCCGGAGCAACAUCAACCAAGACCACCUGGCACGUUCCGAGCACGCGUAGCAAUGCGGCCUCAACCCCAGCCCUCGCACAAUUGUAAGACAAACUCUCCGCGUACAUAAUUAUGCCCUGGAGAUACCAUGGGCAUAGGGGGAGAGGCACAACCACAACAGACCCAGAGUGCGGUUCAACCACACCAGGGGCUCCCAAGUGUGUCGCUCUUUUUAUCUUUUAUUUCUCUCUUUUUCAUACAGAACUCUGUCCGGCGGCGAACCUGCCGAACUCAUGAUGCAACAGCCAAGGAGGGACAAAGGCCGCGACGAACACUCAGGUGGUCUCCAUUAUGAGCAUUAAAUUUGUUAAAUACACCAUUCCGCGGCCUACCCCUGGAGGGAGACGCCUUUAAUUCGUCCAAUCCCUUGCUUUCCGCACUAUUUGUAUCAUUCCGCACUCAUAGCAGCUCUUCUCGAAUAAAAUGCAGCACUUUUUGCCCAUAAUUGCAUUACCUUAUAUAUAUAUAUAUAUAUAUAUAUAUAGAUAUAUAUAUAGAUAUAUAUAUAUAUAUGUUCAUUUACGACAUGUUGCAUCCGUACAUUUUGGUACGGCCAAAUACACCAGGGGCUUACGUUCCCCGCAUUAUGGUGUGAUAAAGUCCGAACACUUUCACAAGUGCGGCACCCCGAACUUAUAGCAUUAUAUGAAUCGGCUCCGAAUCAUGUCUUGGGUCAAUAGUUGGGUUUGCCCGGCUCCGAUGUUUGGCACCUUAUGUUCCGUUCUAUCGGCUAAGGUAGCACUGGGAGAACCACUGCGAUGGCGCCCCGGUUGAGCCGGGUUAACGCCUCAGUGGAGAAAGCUAAAACUGACUGUCAUGAUAAGGCGAGAGACUGGUCGCUAUUCGAGAGGUCCUUUCGGGUCCUUAAAGACCUACGCCGCUUCGAGCGAAGUUCCGGAUAAUGUCCGGCGAAGGCGUGGAUAGCGCCCCGAAUUCGGUCUUCCGAAUAAUAGGGGCUUCGCCGAAAUUUAAAAUUAUAGAAUUCUAUGGCUAAGUGAGAGUGUUCAAGCACUAUAAGUCCAGUUGCCUCGUUGUGUUGAGCGCCUCCCUAGAUGGACCCAAAAAUGGGAACAAGAGCGCUCAAGUUUAUCCCGAACACCCCAGCACUCGUGGCAUGGGGGCUGAAGCCGGCGACUUGCCAUCUCUCAGAUUUAAUAAACGGCCGCACAGAAGGUAAUAUUUUAAAUUAACAAGCGUUGCUUAGCGCAUAUGAACAAAGUUUUCAGCGCACAGGAUAACACAUUGCGAAUUUACUCAAUAAUUACAUCCCUGGGGCACUCAUCCGCAAUUUUGCGGGCACCCUUCAGGACAGUCUUAUAGUACAUCUCGGGCGUACGAUAUUCCUUGCCCACUGGUGGCGCGUCAGUGAUUAGCUUCUCCGCAUCCAGCUUGCCCCAAUGCACCUUUGUGCGGGCAAGGGCCCGACAAGCACCUUCAAUACAGGCGGAGCGCUUGAUAACCUCCACCCAGGGGCACGCAUCCACCAACCGUCGCACGAGACCGAAGUAGCUCCCAGGCAUGGCCUCUCCAGGCCACAGCCGGACUAUGAGGCCCUUCAUGGCCUGCUCGGCCACCUUGUGGAGCUCGACCAGCUGCUUCAGCUGGUCGCUAGUGGGCACCGGAUGGCCGGCCUCAACAUACUGAGACCAGAAGACCUUCUCCGUUGAGCUCCCCUCCUCGGCUCAGUAGAAUGCGGCGGCAUCAGACACGCUACGAGGCAGAUCUGCAAACGCCCCUGGAGAGCUCCGAAUUCGGGUAAGUAACACGUAAUUUACAUUCACAUGCUUGCUUUGCAUAAAAAUGCCUUACCCGCCGCUAUCUUCCUCACCAACUCAAUCUCCUGAAGGGACUUAUGGGCAUCGGCCUUGGCAGUCUUGGCACUCUCGAGUCUUUGAGUCACGCUCCAAACUCUCAUGCUUUUCCGUGAGAGCCUGGAGCUCUUGCUGAACCACCGCCACCCGCGCCUCCUGCUUUUCUCGCUCUGCCCGUUCCGCGGCCGCAUUGCGUUCGGCCGCAGACACGGCCUCCUUCAGGGUCGCCACCUCGUUCGUGGCCCCUGCAAUACCCAUGUUAUCCUUGUUAUUUUUUGUUGCAACCUAAAUCCUUUUCUAUAAGGUACAAGUUCAAAGUGGUGUUACUCACCUUCUUUGUCCUGGAGCUGCUUCUUGGUGCGGCCGAGCUCUUGCUCGGACCGCUCGAGCUCCUGCUUCAAAGCACCGACCUCCGCAGUCACUGCGGCAGAGGUCAGCAGCGCAGCCUGCAACCCAUAUUGACAUAAUUUUUUAGCAACCCUGCGUAUAUCUUCUUUUUUUCAGAUCCUCAGUCCGGCUUUUCUUUCCGAACACCGAACCGAGCAUCAGGGGCUACUGUCUAUGCGGUAUUACAUUGCAUAUUUUUUUAACUUCUUACCUCAAAGCCUGAUAGAAGGCUACUGCACGCUUCGGUCAGCCCGCUCUUGGCAAGCUGUACCUUUUGAAUCACCGCACUCAUAAUAGUGCGGUGUUCUUCCUCGAUGGAAGCGCUCUGCAGCGCCUCCAACAAAUUGUCCGGCGCCUCCGGUUGGACGGAAGCCGCCAGCGUCACGGUCUUUCCCUUCAUGCGAAGGGGCCGCCGGCCGGACUCCGGAACCACUGCGGGUUCUGAUAUGGAGUCCGGCGCAAAGUCCGGGAGGACGCCUUGUGGCGCCUCCGGAGCCUCCCCUGAUGGGUCCCUUCUUGGGAUCCCACCUUGCAUCCUCGGUGUCACGAGGGGUGGAGGCGGUCGGGAUGGAAUCUACAUCUGACGGAGCCAACGACCCGCUCGAUGAAGCGGGGAGAUCAUCAUUGGCCGGACUACAGGCAGCAUGCGGCAUCAGAAUGACACUAUGUGACACAGAAAAAGAAAUCAUAAAUCACUCAGGAAUCCGGAUACUUACGAUCUCACUGGAGGCCUGGCCCUUGAAGGCCAUUCUUCCUCGCCAAUGUUGAUGUUGGCGGAGCUGUCCGGGGGAAUAGUCCUUCCCCUCUUGGACCCUUCGGCCUCCCCUGUUGGGGAAGCCUUCCUCUUCCUCUCUCCCUCCUCUGGGAGAGAGUCCUCUUUCUCCUCCUCGUUUUCAGGGGAGGAGUCCGCCCCGGAGUCGUCGGACACCUGAAAACGGGAACUCUUUCGAGCACCCGUGGCCUCCUUCUUGGCCUUCUUCUCCGGCACCACGUGCGGUGCCGGAACCAGCAGCCUCGCUAGAUGGGCGUCUACUGGGUUUUCUGGCAUGGGAGCCAGGCAGAUAAUCUACUCCGCCUUCCUCAUCCAGUCCUUUCAAAGGAAAAGGGGAAAUUAAAACCCGCAUAGAGUCAAACUAUGAAAAACAAGUGUCCCGUAAAGGGGUAGAAUCACUUACCUCGUCGGCUUGGCGCUGCGAGCGAAAUCUGCGAUCUUCAGUCGCGGAUGUGGGGGCUUCGGCGCCCUUAAAGAGCACCCUCCAGGCGCCUUUGUACGUCGUGUCGAAGAGCCCGCUCAGCGCUUGGUGCUGUUCCAGAUUGAACUCCCACAGAUUGAAUGCACGCUCUUGGCAUGGGAGAAUCCGGUGGACGAGCAUGACCUGGACCAUGUUAACCAGCCUGAGCUUCUUCACCAGCUUCUGGAUACAGGCUUGGAGUCCCGUCAGCUCCUCCGAACUACCCCACAGCAAGCCCUUCUCUUUCCAGGAGGUGAGCUGCGUGGGGAUACCAGAUCUGAACUCGGGGGCCGCCGCCCACUUAGGGCCGCGCGGCUCGGUGAUAUAGAACCACCCCGAUUGCCACCCCUUGACGGAUUCCACGAAGGCCCCUUCAAACCAAAGGACAUUGGGCAUCUUGCCCAACAUGGCGCCUCCGCACUCCGCUUGAGUGCCCUUCACUACCUUCGGCUUGACAUUGAAGGUCUUGAGCCACAAGCCAAAGUGGGGCUGGAUGUAGAGGAAGGCCUCGCACACGACGAUAAACGCCGAGAUGUUGAGGAUGAAGUUCAGCCCCAGAUCAUGGAAAUCCAGGCCGUAGUAGAACAUGAGCCCCCGGACAAAGGGGUAAAGUGGAAAACCCAGUCCGCGGAGGAAGUGGGGAAGAAAAACGACCCUCUCAUGGGGCCUGGGGGUGGGGAUGAGCUGCCCCUCGUCGGGCAGCCUGUGCGCGAUGUCGCCGGACAGGUAGCCGGUGCUGCGCAGUCUUUCGAUGUGCUCCUCCGUAACGGAGGAGGUCAUCCACUUGCCUCCCGCUCCGGACAUAACUAGGGAAGGUUGAGACGAGAUGUGCAGGCUUGGACGCUGGAGCUCGAGUGCGCAAAGAUGGAUAAGCAAAGGAGGAAGAAGGCGUAGGUGAAAAAGUGAAUCAUUAUCCCUUAUAUGGGCGGGUGAAGUCUACGCGUCCCCCACCGGCCUGGUAAAACUCGCUUAUCCCCCAAGCGUCACCAUCAAUGGCGCGGUUGGGUUACCCACGUCUGUAUUGAUGAGAAUCCCGGAUUAAGGGGGAACACGAUCUCUGCUUCGACAAGACGUGCCAAGGAAACCGCUUCGCUAAAUGCGCUGAGGUGGUAGAGUAAGAAAUGAUUCAAGUAAUGGCUUGGUAGUGGCGUGACGUCAUGCCGCAAAAAACGUCAGCAGAUUGAACUUGUGUAUAUAUUAUUCUCUCUACGGUGGAAUGUGGAAUUUAUUUUGCAGAGCCGGACACUAUCCUGGUGUUCACAAUCUUCUUUCAUUCGGAGGAGGAACCCGCCUUGCAAUGCCAAGCAAUAUACGCGUCGGACUUAUCGUCAUUGAAGCCUGGUUCAGGGGCUACUGAGGGAGUCCUGGAUUAGGGGGUGUCCGGAUAGCCGGACUAUCAUCAUCAGCCGAACUAUCAUCGGUCGGACUACAUCAUCGACCGGACUCCAAGACUAUGAAGAUACAAGAUUGAAGGCUUCGUCCCGUGUCCGGAUGGGACUUUCCUUGGCGUGGAAGGCAAGCUUGGCGAUACGGAUACGUAGAUCUCCUACCACUGUAACCGACUCUAUGUAACCCUAGCCCUCUCCGGUGUCUAUAUAAACCGGAUGGCUCUAGUCCGUAGGACACAACAACAACCAUUACAAUCAUACCAUAGGCUAGCUUCUAGGGUUUAGCCUCCUUGAUCUCGUGGUAGAUCCACUCUUGUAAACAUCCACAAUAUCAAUAUCAAUCAAGCAGGACGUAGGGUUUUACCUCCAUCAAGAGGGCCCGAACCUGGGUAAAACAUCGUGUCCCUUGUCUCCUGUUACCAUCCGCCUAGACGCACAGUUCGGGACCCCCUACCCGAGAUCCGCCGGUUUUGACACCGACACUAGUCCUUAAGAUAGAUGAAGGCUUGCCGCAUUGUUCCUCCACCACUGCAAUGUGGUGGGUGACCUGGGGAGAGUUAAUCUCUCUCAGAUCGGGUUUAAGCCCAAUCUGAUCGUAGUCUGUAGCGACUCCCAGGGCGGCAAUGCGAUCCAAGAGCUCGUUUAAGGAAGAGAGCUCCAUCGGAUCUAGAUGCUCGGCGAGUUCCGAGUUGAUGUGGAGUUUGCUUUCGAUGACCCGAGAAGUCAUCGUCGGUGCGGUGGACGAACAGGCGGUCAUAAGAAAACCGCCUAGCCGGAGAGUUUGGCCGAUAGCCAAAGCUCCUUUAGCCACAGUGCCAUCUUUAAAGACGGGAUGAGGCAUCCUUCCUAAUGGCGACGGCACAGAGGAACUCUCAAUGAAAGCACCAAUGUCGGUGUCAAAACCGGCGGAUCUCGGGUAGGGGGGCCCGAACUGUGCGUCUAGGCGGAUGGUAACAGAAGACAGGGGACACGAUGUUUUUACCCAGGUUUGGGCCCUCUCGAUGGAGGUAAAACCCUACUCCUGCUUGAUUAAUAUUGAUGAUAUGGGUAGUACAAGAGUAAAUCUACCACGAGAUCAGAGAGGCUAAACCCUAGAAGCUAGCCUAUGGUAUGAUUGUUGUUCGUCCUAUGGACUAAAACCCUCCGGUUUAUAUAGACACCGAAAAGGGCUAGGGUUACACAGAGUCGGUUACAAUGGGAGGAGAUCUUCAUAUCUGUGUCGCCAAGCUUGCCUUCCACGCCAAGGAAUGUCCCAUCCGGACACGAGACGAAGUCUUCAAUCUUGUAUCUUCAUAGUCCGGGAGUCCGGCCAAAGGUUAUAGUCCGGUUAUCCGGACACCCCCUAAUCCGGGACUCCCUCAAUGGCCUUUGCCAUUAGGCACUUGUGAGUGUUGCCCUUGUAAUCUUUCAUGUAGUUGUAGGUGACCACGUCACCACUCUUGUUUACUAACCUCAAGGUGUUUUGAGAGUCUUGAGCAACUCUGGCAACACCACUAACAUCAUCCGGAUCGGAUUCUUCUUGAAAAACCAUUGCUUUUCCAUCUCUCUUCUUGAGCUUGGAGUUCAAAGGAUUUGGCAACUUCUUCUUGGGAAAGGUCUUGGGAAACCUUGGUUUAUCCUCUCUCUUCUCAUAAGGGCACUCGUUGGAGAAGUGGUUGGUUUCUUCACAGUUGUAGCAUUUUCUUACUUUCUUCUUUGGAAAUCUUCCCUUGAAUUUUCCCGCGCUAAACUUCUUGACAAAGAGAUCCAUGUCUUCAUAUGAAGGGCCCUCAUCGGAUUCAAUCUCAUCACCAUCUUCAUCAUCAUCAUCAUCUUCUUCUUCUUCACUUUGCUGAUCUUCACAUACAUGCUUGGCCUUCAAUGCAAGAUUGAUCUUUGAUGAUGGGGAACCAUGCAUGUCAAGAUGUUUUGUGGCAUUAGCCUUUGACUCUUCAAAUAGUUGAAAGGUGGAUAUGAUGUCAUCUGUAGUCAUUUCCUUGAAGGUAUGGUGUUGUAUUAUGUCCCACACCAUUUGAUGGUGAUAUGGGGCAAGAGCAUGAAGCAACUUAUCCACAAGGAAACGCUUAGUCAUGUUGAAUCCAUCUUGGGUCUUGUCACACUCACAUGACUCAAUUUCAGGAGUGACAGUCAUGAGACGCUCAUGGAAUUGAUUGGGGGUUUCACCUUUCUCCAUACAAAAGUUUUGCAAUUGCCCCUUGGCAAUUUCAUAUUGAGCACUCCGGAGGGUAGAGGUGCCAGUCUUGGAUCUUAUGAUACUUUCCCAUAGUUCCUUGGCACAUGUGAUGUGUAUGAACGGUCUCCUUUGCUUUUCAGCCAUACCUCUCCUUAUACACAUGAUUGCAGUGUCAUUGAGGUUCUUGUCAUAUAUUUCUCUUGGUGUGGGGUUCUUUGGAUCAACCACAUGAUAUCCAUACUCAAUGAUCUCCAGCAUCUCAUCAUUUCCAUGUCGAAGAUGAUCCUGCAUAGCAACUCUCCACAAAGCAAAAUCGGAAGUGGCAGUAAGUAAAGGAGGUUUGCCUUGAGGAUUAUAUCUUGGUUUCUCAACCCGAGGUCUUGCAUAAAGCCAAUGAACACUAGCGUGUUCAUUGCUAGGAGGUUGUUGACCAAGUGAUGAAGUAGGCACAGUUGGCCUCGAACCCACACCACCCGAGAGUGGUGCAAGCACCGUGGACAACGUGGCUAAUCUCAUUUGGACCAAGGCCUCAAGAGAAGCAUCAUGCUCCUCUUUUGGCUUAGCAAGGGCCCGUUCUAGAUCCUCGGACAUAAAGGACUUGACUUCAGAAGAAGCCUCGCCUUUAUCCUUAGGAUCUACAACGAGGGGAGUCCCAUCUGGGUUCAUCUCGCUCUAGGGUGGUUAAGCCACAAGAAUAGAGCAUGAGGCUCUGAUACCAAUUGAAAGGACUAAGAUGGACCUAGAGGGGGGCUGAAUAGGUACAAUUACAAAAUUUUAAUUAUUACUUAGCAAUUUUAGGCAAUAAUGCGGAAUAUGAAGAUGAGCCUAAUAAUUGCAAGUGAGUACUAAGUACUAAGCAAGCAACACAAGCACGUAAGUAAGCAAGCACAAUAUGAUGUACGUAAGUGCAAAGAGACAAGUAACCACAAGUAGAGAGUUAGGGUUAGGAAUAACCGCAACUCCGGGAGACGAGGAUGUAUGCCGCUGUUCACUUCCUUGGAGGGAAGCUAGUCACCGUUAGAGAGGUGGAUGUUACCACGAAGGCACACCAACACCACGAAGGCUCACCCUAUUCUCCCUUUGAGACAACACCACGGAGGCGUCUCUCAACCACUAGUGGUAGACCUUGGGGUGGUCUCCAAACCCUCACAAACUUUUCUGAGGGUAAUCACAAAGUUCGAUUCCUCUCCGAAUGACUCCUACCGCCUAGGAGUCUCCAACCUCCAAGAGUAACAAGAACGAUGGGGGAAAGCUCAAAACUUGCUCAAAUCACGAAUUCCUUUGGUGAAAAGAGGGGGGAGGAGUGGAUCUAUAACUUGAUUGGAGAACUUCUCUCAAAUGCUCCUAGAACACUUGGGAAUCUAGGAUUUGGUGUAGGUGAAUGAGAGAGAGAGAGAGUGAGGAGUGUUCUUUGUAGGCUCAAAGUGAAUGGUCAGCCUUAUCCCAUGGAAGGGAAAGGCAUAUAUAUAGUGGGUGAGAAAAGGUGACCGUUUGGGAUACAUAAGUGCACAGGAUAGGUCGGACGUCCGGAGAACAUCGGACGUCCGGAGGCACAAAUAGGUCCGGACGUCCGACAGUCAUCGGAUGACCAGCGGCUGUGAACCUGUGAGCCACGACCUAGUACACAGGACACGGACGUCCAAGACAGGCCGGACAUCCGGACCCCGGACGACCGGAGAGUCCGGAAAUCCAUAAAAAUGGUCCUGUUGUGAAAGUACCGGAUGUCCGGAGAGUUUCGGCCAUCCGUAAAAACCACUCUAUAAAGGAACACCGGACGACUGGAGGGAGCCGGACGUCCGGGCAGCUGAGAGGGACCGGACGUCCGUAGAGCCCGGACAUCCGGAGGCAAAUUAUAGGAACAGUGGAUUUUGAGCAAGUUUUUCACUAGAUCCAACGAUCCCCUCUUAAUAGUGCGGGAUCCCUAUACUCAAGAACAAACCAUAAACAAAGUCAAUGUCUUGUAUCUCCAUUCUUGAGUUAUAUGCUUUUUGUCCCUAGUCAUGAUCCAUGCACACGGUCUUUGAGACAUAAUCCUGAGAUAUGCUUGAUAAACAUGAUUAGUCCCUAGCAUAUGUGUUGUCAUCAACAUCAAAAUAUGAUUAAGGGCAUGAUUGCACUUUCACCCGUUCCGGCACCCUGCCGGAGGGGGAAGCCAUCACCGGUGGCCAUCUUCAUCAUCUCGGCGCUCUCCAUGACGAGGAGGGAGUAGUUCACCCUCUAGGCUAAGGGUAUGUACCAGUAGCUAUGUGUUUGAUCUCUCUCUCUCGUGUUCUCUCUAUGGCACGAUCUUGAUGUAUCGCGAGCUUUGCUAUUAUAGUUGGAUCUUAUGAAGUUUCUCCCCAUCUACUCUCUUGUGAUGAAUUGAGUUUUCCUCUUGAAGUUAUCUUAUCGGAUUGAGUCUUUAAUGAUUUGAGAACACUUGAUGUAUGUCUUGCUGUGCUUAUAUGUGGUGACAAUGGGAUAUCAUGUGCCACUUGAUGUAUGUUUUGGUGAUCAACUUGCGGGUUCCGCCCAUGAACCUAUGCAUAGGGGUUGGCACACAUUUUUGUCUUGACUCUCCGGUAGAAACUUUGGGGCACUCUUUGAAGUACUUUGUGUUGGUUGAAUAGAUGAAUCUGAUAUUGUGUGAUGCAUAUCGUAUAAUCAUACCCAUGGAUACUUGAGGUGACAAUGGAGUAUUUAGGUGACAUUAGGGUUUUUGUUGAUUUGUGUCUUAAGGUGUUAUUCUAGUAUGAACUCUUGAAUAGUUUGAUCCGAAAGAAUAACUUUGAGGUGGUUUCGUGCCCUACCAUAAUCUCUUCGUUUGUUCUCUGCUAUUAGUGGCUUUGGAGUGACUCUUUGUUGCAUGUUGAGGGAUUGUUAUAUGAUCUAUCUAUGUUAUUAUUGUUGAGAGAACUUGCACUAGUGAAAGUAUGAACCCUAUGCCUUGUUUCCUAUCAUUGCAAUACCGUUUACGCUCACUUUUAUCAUUAGUUACCUUGCUAUUUCUAUAAUUUCAUAUUACAAAUACCCAUAUCUACUAUCCAUAUUUCACUUGUAUCACUAUCUCUUCGCCGAACUAGUGCACCUAUACAAGUUACCAUUGUAUUGGGUGUGUUGGGGCCACAAGAGACUCUUUGCUAUUUGGUUGCAAGGUUGCUUGAGAGAGACCAUGUUCAUCCUACGCCUCCCACGGAUUGAUAAACCUUAGGUCAUCCACUUGAGGGAAAUUUGCUACUGUCCUACAAACCUGUGCACUUGCAGGCCCAACAACGUCUACAAGAAGAAGGUUGUGUAGUAGACAUCAAGCUCUUUUCUGGCGCUAUUGCCGGGGAGGCUAGGUAAGCGGCACUCACACCCCGUCAACUAAGCUCUUUUGUGGCGCCAUUGACGGGGAGGUGAGUGCUUGAAGGUAUAUCUUUAGAUCUUGCAAUCGAAUCUUUUUGUUUCUUGUUUUAUCACUAGUUUAGUCUAUAAAAGAAAACUAAAAAAUGGAUUUAAGUUUGUCUCAUACACUUCAUCUUUUUAAUAUCUUUCGUGAGUAUGAUGGAAAGGAAAAUUGUGCUCAAGUGCUAGAAGAAGAAGUCUAUAAAAUAUUUGGUACUAAAUCUUUGAAUGAUGAGCAUGAUUGCAAUGUUGUUAGUAUGAAUUCCUUGAAUAUACAUGAUGCUAAUGAUAUGCAAAGCCACAAGCUUGGGGAUGCUAUGUUUGAUGAAGAUGAUAUGUUUAGUCCCCCAAGUUUUUAUGAGCAAAUUUAUUAUGAUGAAAGCAUGCUUCCUAUUUAUGAUGAUUAUAUUGAUGAAAGUGGGUUUGGAAGAGUGUCAACUUUAGGAAGUAGUGAUCCCACUAUUUUGGAGGAUGUUGAAUCUUAUGGUGAUGAACAUGAAAGUGGAUUUGGAAGAGUGUCAACUUUAUUUAGUGAUGAUUCCACUAUUUCGGAAGAGGUUCCAAUUGAUUAUGAGAACAAAGUUGCUACCUAUGAUGAUUAUUGUGAUGACUUGUAUGCUAUUAAGAAUAAUGAUAACCAUGAAACUUGUCAUCAUGAUUUGUAGGACCAACAACGUCUACAAGAAGAAGGUUGUGUAGUAGACAUCAGUACUUCAGGGGCGCCACUGGUGGUGUUGAGCAGCCCGGACAGCAGCCCCCAGCACAGCCCCCAGCGUAAGUUCAUUACCCUCCCCUCGUCGGCAUGUGCUAAGGGUAUGACACUCUGGUGCUGACCUUGCCGGGUGUGCAGGAGGAGAGCAGCAGCAGGAGGAGCCGCAGAGGGCUACUCCCAACACGCCGCCCCAAGGGGCAUCUCCGGUGAGGGCACCAAGCGCUGAGCCCAUGCACAUGGAGGAGGAGGAGGAGAACCUGGGGACUGGUGGCUUCGCCUCGGCGCCAAAUGCUGGCGGAGAGGGGACCUCUGUUUCCCAGCCUGGGACUGGUAAGUCGUUCUCCUUUCGACCAUGCUUUUUCUCUUCUCUUCCUUGGUCUUGGUCUUGCCUCACCCCCUUCUUUGGUGUCCAGGUCCCUCCUCGGUGAACCCAGUGAACCCAGAGAACGUGCACGCCAUCAUUGAGGAUGUCGCCAAGGCCGCCGAGGUGGACGCCGAGAAGAUUGCCGCUGACGAGGCCGCCAAGGGCGCUGCUGAGGACACCGCAAAGGGGCCUGCCGGGGAGGCCGACAAGGCCGCCGCUGAGGAGGCUGGCAAGGGGCCUGCUGGGGAGGCCGACAAGGCCGCUGCCGAGGAGGAGGGGAGGUAGCUGAUGACCAGCCUUCUUCCUCUGCUGCUUCCGGCUCCGGCAAGUACCUGAGGGUGGGUGACGACUUGUUCGUCCACCUCCCAGGUGAGUCCAGCACCAGGACACCCGUCGAGGGAGAGGUGUUUGACAAUGAAGUGCUUGCCGUUGUCGGGCUCGAGGUCGUCGAUGAGCCGAGCGUUGGUGGCGACGGCUCCCAGGAGGAGGAGCUGCUCCAGGCCAUGGGUGCCAGCUUCCGGAAACUCUAGGCGCUCCACUGUGCCCAUUUGGACAAGGCCAAGUCCAGGACGGCGGUGGUGGAGAAGGCGGAGCCGGACCUCCAGGAGCGUGUCGGCGAGAUGCAGGACUGGUUCCGCCAGGCCUAAGACGAGCUGAAGGAAGCCCAGGGCAAGCUGGCCAAGCGUGACGUGGAGCUCACCAUGAAGCUGGCUAACGUCGAGAAGGCCCACGAGGCGGCGAAGAACUUGGCCGCCGCCGCCGAAGCCGCCGGGACCCAGCACGAGGCCGCACUGAAAUCCCAGGAGGAGGACCUUGCCAUGCGCGAGGAGAAGCUCGCCGCCACGCUCCGCGGCAAGGAUGAAGAGGUGGAGAAGCUUGUCGCGGCAUGGACCCAGGAGCUAGAGCACAAGCACAAAGAGGCGCUCGACGCCCAGGCCCUGGCCCACGGCAACAGGGUGAAGGAGUUGGAGGCGGAGCGGGAUGUCCUGGCGAAACGAGCCUCAGAGCUGUCCUCGGAAAAGAACACGCUCAACGAGGCCCUAGUUAAGGCACAAUCCGAGGUCCUCAGCAGAGCUGAGCAGCUUUCCACCACCAACGACACCAUGAAGGACCUGAAGCUCAAGCUGGAGGGCAUCGAGGGGGCGCUCGAGGAGGCCAAAACCCGGGAGGGGGGCCUGACUCAACGCUUGGCGGCGGAGGAGCAGCUCCGGGCAAACGUGGCCGCCAAUCUCAAGGACCAGGUCUAUGGCGAGAAACGUUGGAUCGGCCGCCUUAUCGCUGUUGCCAAUAGAAUCACCGAGCAACUAGCCAAGAUGAGGGUGACAGACGUGAGGUAUGCCACGGAACCAAAUCUGAGCCCCAACGCCAGUCUGACCAUCUUUUUUGAGAGCGUCCCCAGGGCCCUGGAGCAGCUCCACUCCAACCGGGCGAGUUCCUUGGCCGACGAGGCUCGGAUGCUUUGCCAGGGUGCCAUGACCAAGGUUCUCACCAAGCUGGCGCACUGGAACCCUAGCCUCGACUUCGAUGCCUCACUGGACAGCUUGCCAGAUGAUGAGGACCUUGUAGUGCUCCAGGAGCGCAUCGAGCCCGUCAUCAGCCUCAUCAGCGGGAUCCAGAGGCUGGAGAGCCAGCGCCGAGACUAGACGCCCCGUCUCUUGCUGCCGCUACAGGUUCAUGACCAAGACAAUUCAUAUCUUUAGUUAGAACCGCAUCAACAAUUGGUGUAACUUAACUCUGCAGUACUCUUGAUAUUACACAUGCCGGCGCGUAACUGGGUAGGCUUGCCGGCGCGUAAACCCGGGGCAGCGUCUUGGGGACGGAUCCCCAUUGGCCUAUCAAGUCUGCGUGCUGUCGGGCGAACCACCUUACCGCCCUUAGCGCGGCGCCCGAACUAUCGAGCUUGACUCGAGUCAGAAUCGAGGGUGUUACCAAGUGCGGAAGGCUACCCCACCGCACUUGAUGCGGCUGCUUGAGCUGUUGAGCGGACUCGAAACAGAACAAAGGCGUUGCCAAUUGCGGGAGGGCCCCUUUGCGUGCAGGUUUUCCAUACAUAGGCAAGAUCUUCGAGGACGAUAACCUUAUGUAUAGAAAGGAAAUAACUCAAGGCUCUGAACGACUUAGCUUUUUUGUUGCCGCGCUGGCGUCCUUCGCGCUCGCAGGCGGCGCCAUUUUCUCCUGACUGUCUCCUUCGCGGGAGCCAUGGCGAUGAAGAACUGCUAGGGCAACUACUAGACCAGAUUCUCACAAUUGCGCCCCCUACCUGGCGCGCCAAAGAUGUCGGUGGGAAACAACACCUAUGGGAUCACAAGAAUCCCUACUACGGUUGUCGGGCGCAGGGUUGUGAGAAGAGCAGGAUUAGUAAUUAGCACGAGGCUCGUUUAUCCAGGUUCGGGUCGCAAGGAUGAGUAAAACCCUAGUCCUUCUUUGGUGUAUGUAUUGAGUGUUCUUGAGCUCUUGAACUAGCUACGGGGGCUGCGUGGUUCAAAAGAGCCGAAUCCCUCUCCAGUAUGCCAUGGGCCUCCUUUUAUAGUCGAAAAGUGCUGCCACAGUGGCACACAGGAGGUGGAAAGGCCUACAGUGCUAUGAGUUUAUUGCUCGUAUUACAGGACAAGACGCAUUUAAUGUGUAGCUUAGGUGUCUGAGGGAGUCCCGGACUAGGGGGUGUUUGGAUAGCCGAACUAUCAUCAUCGGCCGGACUCCAAGACUAUGAAGAUAGAAGAUUGAAGACUUCGUCCCGUGUACGGAUGGGACUUUCCUUGGCGUGGAAGGCAAGCUUGGAGAUACGGAUAUGUAGAUCUCCUACCUUUGUAAUCGACUUUGUGUAACCCUAGCCCUCUCCGGUGUCUAUAUAAACUGGAUGGCUGUAGUCCAUAGGACGAACAACAAUCAUACCAUAGGCUAGCUUCUAGGGUUUAGCCUCCUUGAUCUCGUGGUAGAUCUACUCUUGUAACCCACAUCAUCAAUAUUAAUCAAGCAGGAUGUAGGGUUUUACCUCCAUCAAGAGGGCCCGAACCUGGGUAAAAACAUCGUGUCCCUCGUCUCCUGUUACCAUCCGCCUAGACGCACAGAUCGGGACCCCCUACCCGAGAUCCGCCGGUUUUGAGACCGACAUUGGUGCUUUCAUUGAGAGUUCCUCUGUGCUGUCGCGAUCAGGAAGGAUGCCUUUUCCCGUCUUUAAAGACGGCACCGUCGUCAAGAGAGCUUUGGCCGCCGGCCAAACUAUCCGGCUAGGUGGUUUUCUUAUGACUGCCUGUUCGGCCACCGCUCCGACGAUGACCUCUCAGGUCAUCAAAAGCGAUCUUCACGUCAGCUCGGAAUUCGCCGAGCAGUUAGAUCCGAUUGAGCUCUCCUCUGUAAACGAGCUCUUGGAUCGCAUCGCCGCCCUGGGAGUCGCUACAGACUACGAUCAGAUUGGGCUUAAAACCGAUCUGAGAGAGAUUAACUCUCCUCAGGCUACCCACCAUGUUGUCGUGGUAGAGGAACAAUGCGGCAACCCUUCUUCUACUUUGAAAACCAACUAUGUCCGGAUUCCCGAUCCCUCCAAGCCGGAUUCCCGUGGAGGGACGGACGCUAAUCAAAUACUGAACUUAGAGUCAGGCAUCGGACUAGAUUCAUCGGAAAGCAUCCAGCAAGUCAAGCUUCCAAAUCCGGAAACUUCUUGGCCUUUGAGCCUCAGAUCGGGCGGGAUUCCGAACUUGAUUCCACCCGCCCACCCAAACAUAAGCAAUCUAUCUCAAAUACGGCAGGAGCCCGAUGAAACAGUACAUCAUUACUGGGCCAGAUUCCUCCUGGUUAUGAACAGGAUAAAGGACUGCUGCGAAGAAAGCGCGAUUUCAAUUUUCUACAACAAUUGCACGGACAAGGGAAUCAUGAACGCCUUAAGUCGUCGCGAAGUUACACGCUUCGUCGACCUAGCGACCAUCGUACAAAAAUACUGUGCGGUGGAGAGUGCCAGGAACACCGAAACUAGGUUUUGGGACAGUCCGACCUUGACUACAACCCUAGUCCAAAGUAAAAGGGUGUGCCAUACUCAAAUACCUGGGUUAAAAACCAAAAAGUAAAAAAACCCUAAAGGGCAUGGAACCGUACUGGAGGGCUGGCUCAACGGACCCUACAAAAUCCACAGUACGGAGGGCGCCACUCCAACACACAGCCUUCGAGCAUGUUGGAUACUAUGGCAGGUGGCCAAAAGUGGCGAAGGCUUUUUAGCCCCAGGCAAACAGCCCAGCAGUACCGAUACGGUAUUAACAGUCUUCGAGACUUCCGCAUCAAAUAACAAGCGAAAACGAACAAUCCGCGGCCUCGCCGAAGUCUACCAAGUAGCAACAACAAAUCCAUGGAGUGACACGGCUAUCACCUUCAACGCCAGCGACAAACCUAAAUUCCGAACAGCUAGAGCACCAGCCAAACUGGUCCUCAGUACAAUAGUGGACGGCUUUCGCCUUACCAAGGUACUCAUGGAUGGCGGCAGCGGAUUAAACCUCAUCUACGAGGAAACCCUUCAAAAAAUGGAUAUUGACUGGAGCCGCAUCGAGCGAAGCAGCACAACCUUUAGAGGGAUAAUCCCUAGUCGAGAAGUACGCUGCACAGGAACAAUCACACUAGAUGUAGUGUUCGGCUCACCGGACAAUUACAGGUCCGAGGAGGUCAUGUUCCAAGUGGCCCCAUUCGGCAGCAGAUAUCACGCUUUGUUAGGGCGAGAGGCAUUCACAAUCUUCCAAGCUAUACCCCACUACGGGUACAUGAAGCUCAAAAUGCCCGGACCCAAUGGGAUAAUCACUCUUGCGAGUGAUCCAGAUACAGCACUCUGCGCUGAAAAUAAGACAGCCGCACUGGCCCUAGAGGCAUUGUCCGAAGCCCUAGCGGCAGAGGAACUAACUACGCUGCGCUCCACGGUGGAUAGGGAUGAUGUGAUCCUCGAUAAGAGGUCGAAGUCCACCUCUUUUAAACCAGUAGACGAAAUAGUCAAAUUUCAGGUCCAUCCAACGGACCCCACAAAGACGGCCUCCAUUGGGGCACAAUUAAGUCCUGAUGUCGAAGCCCCACUACGAGAAUUCCUUCUGGAAAAUUGGGACAUUUUUGCCUGGCACCCUUCAGACAUGCCAGGAAUCCCACGCAGGCUGGCAGAGCACAGCCUAAACAUCCUAAAAGGAUUCAAGCCGGUCAAACAAGCUCUUCGGCGAUUUUCCGAACCUAAAAGACAGGCAAUGGGAGAGGAGCUAGCCAAACUCUUAGAAGCCGGAUUCAUCAGAGAUAUAAAACAUCCGGACUGGCUAGCCAAUCUAGUAAUGGUACCAAAAAAGGACAAAUCCUGGCGCCUCUACGUCGAUUUUAAAGACCUUAACAAAGCCUGUCCAAAGGACCCUUUUCCCCUCCCUCAUAUCGACCAAAUCAUCGAUGCUACCGCAGGGCACGAUUCAUUGUGCUUCCUCGACGCAUACUCUGGAUACCAUCAAAUCAAGAUGGCGGAAAAAGACCAGGUAACAACAUUCAUUACUCCAUACGGGCCAUUCUGCUUCAACACAAUGCCCUUCGGACUCAAAAAUGCCGGCGCAACAUAUCAGCGCAUGAUUCAAACAUGUCUGGCUACCCAGAUAAGCAAAACAGUAGAGGCAUACAUAGACGAUGUGGUCGUCAAGACCAAACACGUCGAAACUCUAGUAGAAGACUUGAGGGUGACAUUCGACAACCUCCAAGCAUAUGACAUUAAGCUCAACCCAGAAAAAUGCGUUUUCGGCGUACCAGCCAGAAAGCUCUUGGGCUUCAUCGUAUCCGGUAGAGGAAUUGAAGCAAACCCGGCCAAAAUCCGGGCUCUGUCACAAUUGGAUAUUCCAAAGGACCUCAAGCAAAUACAAAAACUAACCGGAUGCGUAGCGGCCUUAAGUCGCUUCAUCUCCCGUUUGGGAGAAAAGGCUCUGCCCCUCUACCGCCUCCUCCGGCGCACCGAAUAUUUCGAAUGGACGGAUGCUGCCACAGCCGGACUCGAAGAAAUAAAGGCCAUACUGGCAACAAAUCCGGUCCUGGCCGCGCCCAACCUGGGCGAACCUAUGUUAUUAUAUAUCGCAGCAACACAUCAAGUUGUCAGCGCGGUACUCGUCGUCGAGCGAGAGACAGAAGGGCACAGAUUCCCUCUUCAAAAACCAGUGUACUACGUAUCCACUAUUCUAACGCCAUGCAAGUCCCAGUACCCACAUUAUCAAAAGAUAGCGUAUGCGGUGUUCAUGGCAUCCCGGAAGCUGUGACACUACUUUCAAGAGUGUUCCAUAACGGUGGCCUCCGAAGUACCUCUCAACGAUAUUAUAAACAAUUGCGACGCAACAGGCAGGAUUGCAAAAUGGGCUAUUGAGCUCUUACCAUUUGACAUAACCUAUAAACCACGGUGAGCUAUAAAGUCGCAGGUUCUGGCUGACUUCGUCGCUGAAUGGACCGAAGCCGAACUCCCUAAAGAGUACGGCGCAUACUCCAAUUGGAUCAUGCAUUUCGAUGGAUCCAAAAUGUUGGCUGGCUUGGGGGCUGGCGUCGUCCUGACGUCCCCAACUGGAGACACAAUCCAAUACGUACUUCAAAUAAUGUACACGGACUCCAACAACGCAGCCGAAUACGAGGCCCUUCUGCAUGGCCUCUGGAUGGCAAUCUCCAUGGGCAUUCAAUGCCUAGAGGUGCGCGGGGAUUCAAACCUCGCAAUAUCCCAAGUAAAUGGAGACUUUGACGCCAAAGAUCCAAAAAUGGCAGCUUACCGCAAUGUUGUCCUAAAAAUGUCAGCUCAGUUCGAAGGACUCGAAUUCCACCAUGUAGCCCGGGAUAAUAACCAGGCAGCAGACGUGUUAGCGCGCAUCGGCGCGAAACGAGACGCCGUCCCUCCAAACAUCUUCCUGGAACGGCUCUUUAAGCCAUCCAUGUUAUGGGAAGAGGAGUCCGGAAAUAACAAUCCGGAGCCAGCUGCAUCACCUAACUCAGACCAUUCUGACACAAUCGGCGGCUCAGCCAACGAAAUAACACCUUCAGCUCACGAAAUAAUGGCAGUAAUUGCCCCUGGACAGAACCAUUCCUAGCCUACUUAAUUCGGCAGGAACUUCCCGAAGACCAAAAUGAGGCCCGCUGCAUAGUUCGGCGAUCUAAAGCCUACAAGGUCCAUGAGGGCGAACUUUAUAAGAAAAGCACAACCGAAGUCCUUCAAAGGUGUAUCUCCGAAGAGGAGGGGCGGAAUCUCCUGGCUGAAAUUCACGCCGGACUCGGCGGGCACCACGCUGCAGCUCAGGCUCUUGUAGGCAAGGCCUUCCGUACAGGAUUUUAUUGGCCGACAGCCCGGGCAGAUGCUCAGGACUUAGUCCAACGAUGCGUCGGUUGCCAGCUCUUUGCUAACCAGAGCCACAUGCCACCCACCGCCCUCAAAACUAUUCCCAUUACCUGGCCGUUCGCGGUCUGGGGGCUUGACAUGGUUGGACCCCUUAAAGGGGGAACCCACAAGCACAAAUACUUAUUGGUCAUGGUGGACAAAUUCACCAAAUGGAUUGAGGCCAAGCCGGUUAAAACGGCAGAAUCCGGACCGGUGAUAGACUUCAUAUCCAGGGUAGUACACCGUUUUGGCGUCCCCUGCAGUAUCAUCACUGAUAACGGCACAAACUUCACGGCCGACGAGGUUAAACUCUGGUGCAAAAACAUGGGCAUCAAGCUCGAUUACGCUUCAGUCUAUCACCCCCAAACUAAUGGUCAAGUCGAGCGAGCAAAUGGUCUAAUCAUGAGCGGCAUCAAACCCAGACUAGUGCGGUCCCUCAAGGAAUCUAACACGCACUGGGUAGAGGAGCUCGACUCCGUACUCUGGGGACUGCGGACCACGCCAAACCGAACUACUGGAUUCACACCAUUUUUCAUGGUAUACGGCACAGAGGCAGUUCUGCCCUGCGAUAUAAUUCAUGACUCACCUCGUGUGCGCAUGUACGAAGAAAGAGAUGCCGAGUUGGAUCGGCAGGACAGUUUGGACGCCUUCGAGGAGGAGCGGGACGUGGCAAAGGCUCGUUCCACAUUUUAUCAGCAGCAGGCUCGAAGAUAUCAAAGCAGAGAAGUACGGGCCAAAACUUACAAUGUCGGCGAACUUGUUCUACGCCUGCCGGACAAGAAAAAGGACAAACUUAAGCCCAAGUGGGAAGGUCCCUUCAUCAUCGACCAAGUCCUGAUCGGCAGAGCAUACUGUCUACGUAAAGCAUCUGACAACCGACUCGAGCCGAACCCAUGGAACGCAGCCCGUCUCCGAAGAUUCUACGCCUAAACACCGGACUCAGAGUUCGUCUCACUCCCACGUCCACCUUUUUAUAUUUUUUACUGCCUCUUGUCCCCCUCUUUCUUCCCACUUUUUUUAUACCUUUUAUAGGUUGAUUUGCGCUUUGUUCGCACACACGUGAUGUGCUCCUAGAACUCAUUAUACCUGGGGGAUUCUUUACCAGAAGCUUAUUCCUAUGGGCUUCACGCCCAAUACAUGUGUCAUACUUCCGCAUGUACCUUUUAUUCACCAUUAUAUGCAUCGAUAUGACUUAAGAUUUGGCUAAGCUGGGUGGCCUGGCUCCUGUGCUUACCCCUACGUUCCGGAUUGUUCGGCUAGGAGGUAAAGGGAGCACCUCUACGAUUGUUACUAUCGGGUCAGCCGGAUGUGUACCUCAGACUGGGUGAAGCCGAAAGCUAGUGUUCUUAAGAGAAUAUUCGGUCGGUGACUUGAAAGAUGAUUUAUUACUUACUUAUUUAUCUGCCCCCAGAUGCUUUUUCUGCUAUUUUCGCAGUCCGGCAUUGUACCUUAGGGCAUGCCUCCCAGGGAAAGGAACCCUUAACGGAACUAUUCUCCCUGGAAGAUGUUUCUUACUAACCAUGUAAUAUAACAUAACUAGUUGGGCACUUGUCUGAUAAAGCAAUUAUGACCCCGACGCCUUGUCUCCAUGCAUGCCCCGGUUCUUUUAUAACCGUAAGGGUAUUCGGACACACUCCGGACUGUUGGGUCCCGAGGUUGAAGCGAAACGGUCCGCAAAGACAAACGAUCUACAAUCCGGCUAGAAGGCAUCUUACAUGUCAUUUCAAAUUACAUCGUCAAACCGACUGAUUGUACUCCUCCUGAAUCCCAUCUAAUAGGCUGUCUAAUUUACAGUCCUGUUGGGAAUAUUUCGCGGCCAGUUCUACUUGGCCGUACAUCAAGCUCACAGGGAUCUCCUUCCCAUCAGGCCCCGCAGGUCCGACCUCGGCCAUGUGGUUUGGGUCAGCCUUCGGGUAUCGCGUCUUCACCAUGGCCCAGGCCUCCCUGGCGCCCUGACGGUAGGCUGAUAUCUUCCACAAACGGAGGCAUCGCCGUGCUCCCUGAAGCUUCUCAGCAAGCUCACCAAGGCCCUCGGGUAGGGAGAUGGAUGGCCAUAAAGCCUAAACGACGCCACUCAUCGCCUGCCGAACACGUUCGAACAAUUGCACCAGCUCGGGAAGUUGGUCACCUGUUGACCCAGGCAUUUCCUCCGCAGGGCGACCUGUGAGCACACCUAAAGACAUAUUUCUGUCAAUCGACUUCCUCGCCGAAUUCUUCUUUCCAAAGGAAUUUGCUCAAGCACUUACUAUAAAUGCCGCGACGAAGCCGCUGAUUCUCCUUCACGGAGCCAGACAGCUGGGCCCGAACACCCUUCAGCUCUUCUCCUAGUUGGGUGUGGGCAUCUUAGAGCUUAUUUCUCUCCUGAUGCACCUUCAUAAGCACCCUCUCACCGGCCUUUAGCUGACGCAGUAGCUGUUGCUUGUCCGGAUCUAGUCCGGCGCCCUCUGCAAUAUUAUUGUCAGAUUCACGCCGCACUUUGUUAAUUAAUUAUCUUUUCAAAGUACGUCUUACCAGUGGGGGUCUCUGUGGCUCCCCAUGUGGCGGCCAGUGCGGCCUCAAGUUGGGCCUUGCACUCUUGGAGCUCCUGGGACAGAUGGGUAUUCUUCUCCGUAAGAUCCUGCAUAAAAAUCGAUCCUUAAAUCAGUUAUUUUAACUAUUUUAAGUCUCGGGGGCUACUGGCAUAUAUAACUAUUAAAAUUACUUACACGUAUGUCUUUCACAUACUUCUCCGUGGCUCUGGUUAACCCAUCUUGAGCGGCACGGAGGUGCGCGUUUCCCGCAUCAAAGGCAUUUAACGCAUCCGGGGAGAAACACGCAUCAUGAAGAACUGUCCGGCGAUGCCUGUGAUUCAUGGUGCUCUCCACCUCAGACCGGGUGGCGGACAGCCUGUCGGCAUCUUCCGUCGGAGGAGCGUCCGACUCAUGCCUUGUAUUCGCCUCCCCUCCCGGGCCAUGCGUUGGAGCAUGGCUGGCGGAGGCUUGAUUGGCAACCUCUCCGGACACUGUCCGGCGAGCGCUCUUUCUGGAAAAGUUAUGAGCAUUAAUAUACCUCUUGGGAAUCCUUCCCUUAAGAAUAGCGGUGCUCCGUACCGUUGCGGCGAUGUUUCAGUUCGCGUCGCACUCCUCUUCUGCCUGUUGGGCCGGACUGACCCUUGUUGGCCGGCCACCGCGGGUUCGGCUUCCCGCCUUAAAGGCACCUCCUGCGAUGCACCAUCAAUAUGGGAUGGUCAGAAUUGAGCACGGAUUAAAUGAUGGUGUCAAGACCUCGGUCGUAGUCACCUGGGAGGCCGGAAACAAACCAGGGUAGUCAGCCAUAAUGGCGACUAAAGCAUUGUCUAUGCUGAGCUGGUGGAACACCCCGUCGAUCAGUUCCACCGCUAAGUCCGGAUCCUCUUCGGAGGUCGGAUCAAGGGAUCGUUUCGGAUUCUCAGGCUGUGGAGUUAGGCUUCGUAUGCCUUCCACAUCCCGGCGCAGCUCCUGCGUCGAAAUCACAGAGUAAGGUACUUGACUUUGAAAGUAUGGAUCGGGUGGAUGAAAAUCCGCUUACCCAGCUCCGAGGGAUAUUCAUAGAGAAUGCAUUCAGCGGAUUCGUGCGGAGAAAGUCCUCCUCCUCUCCCUUGUACAAGCCGGACAGGAUCUUUGCCAGAUCGGCUGCCGAGCCUGGCCCUUUGCGGCCAUGACGGGUGGCGUCAUCUUCCCCGUUGAAAUCCCACAUAGGGUGGCCCCUAUAUUGGAGUGGCUGCACCCCUCGCAUAAUACACGUGGCCAUGACUCCAAUCAUGGUCAAUCCAGAGUGGGCCAGUAAUCUAAUCCGGCCCAUCAGAUAAUGGACGCUCUAUCAUCUUCCCAUUGAGGGCUCCGCGGGCGCCAACUCAGGCGUUUCUUCAAGGGAGCAUUGCUGAACUCCGGGAGGCCGAUCCAAAUUGGAUCCGGCAGAGGGGCGUCCUCCAUGUAGAAAUAUUCCGAAGGCCAGUCUUCGGACGCCUUCUUCGGGGUGCCGGAUAGAUAUCCGGUCCCGGCGAUGCGCCAUAUUUCGGCUCCGCCCACUUGAUAUAUUGACCCCUCAUGAGAACGGGGUACGAGGCAAAACAAUCUCUUCCAUAGCGCAAAAUGGGGCUCGACGCCCAAGAACAGCUCGCAAAGAGCUACGAAGCCCGCGAUGUGCAAAAUGGAGGCAGGCGUGAGGUGGUGAAGCUGGAGUCCGUAGAACUCUAGGAGCCCCCGGAGAAACGGAUGUCUGGGAAAUCCGAGUCCCCUUAUUAGGUAGGGAACAAAGCAUAUCCGCUCCCCUUUGGAGGGGUUGGGGACGCUCUCCGCCUGCUUCCCACCCUUGUAGGUGGCUAGUCUGGCUCGAACCGGAACCAUGAAAGCUGGGGGAAGAUAUCCCUCGGUUUGGAGCGACACUAGCUUGCUGUGUGGAACUGAGCAUCUCCCCCAAUCUCCUGGCUUAGGGCUGGGAGUGCGAGAGGAGGAGCCACGUCGACUAUCCAUGAUGGAAUGGAUUUUUGUCAGAGGCGCUUCGAUGAGAACUUGCGGAUGGAGGAUGGUGUAAGCUGGAUCUAGAUCCUCGCCUCUCUUAUAGGCGGCUCGUUCGCACGGUUAGGGGGUAAAAUGUAAAAAUACCCCAGCCUUUCGCAUUCGUACGACACGUGGAAGAGGGCCAUUAUUGGGCGUAGAAGCCAAGGAGCGCAACAUUUAUAAGGAAGCCGGACACUAUUCGACGGGAACAUGAAGUUUGAAGGAGAACCCGCCUUACAACGCCGAAGACAAUAUACGCGCCGGACUCGUCAUCGCUGAAGCCCGGUUCGGGGGCUACUGAGGGAGUCCCGUACUAGGGGGUGUCCGGAUAGCCGAACUAUCAUCAUCAGCCGGACUCCAAGACUAUGAAGAUAGAAGAUUGAAGACUUCGUCCCGUGUCCGGAUGGGACUUUCCUUGGCGUGGAAGGCAAGCUUGGCGAUACGGAUAUGUAGAUAUCCUACCUUUGUAACCGACUUUGUGUAACCCUAGCCCUCUCCGGUGUCUAUAUGAACCGAAUGGCUGUAGUCCAUAGGACGAACAACAAUCAUACCAUAGGCUAGCUUCUAGGGUUUAGCCUCCUUGAUCUCGUGGUAGAUCUACUCUUGUAACCCACAUCAUCAAUAUUAAUCAAGCAGGAUGUAGGGUUUUACCUCCAUCAAGAGGGCCCGAACCUGGGUAAAAACAUCGUGUCCCUCGUCUCUUGUUACCAUCCGCCUAGACGCACAGAUCGGGACCCCCUACCCGAGAUCCGCCGGUUUUGACACCGACAGUGUCCUCUUGCUUUAUCAGGGACGGGAGCAAGGCCCAUCCUGUCUGUCGCCGCUCCUCCUCGCUUCGACACCCGGCCUGGCCAGCGAUGCAUGCAGCGCCAUGUAGGCAGGCAAGCAGCUGAGGUGGCACGGUGGUGGAUCCUUCACGAAGAUCUGCAUGCCGCCACACAGGCGUGUGCUGAGUUGGCCUGGAAGUUGCAUGUUGCCACGCAGGUGCCUGCCCAGCUGGUUGAGCUGGCAGCUGCAUGUGGACGGUGGCAGAGACUUGGUUGGUGCGGGCCUGGCAGUGGCCCCGCUGAUGCCCUUGGCAAGGGCCUUGCUGGGUGGCCCGGCAAGGGUCUUGCCGUGGCGCGCUGUCGUCCCUAGCAAGGAUCUUGCCAGGGGUCUCGUGGGUUUCCUCGGCAGGAAUCUUGUCGAGGAUUGUUGCCUUCCAAUCCUCAUAUGAUCUUGAAUAUUCUUUUUCUUCACAAAGAUCUGCAUGUCACCAAGGGGGUGCCUCCCAAGCCCUGGCUCAAUGUGUCUGCUGGUGUUGGAGACCGUGGGUUCCAGGGUGGCUCACUCUGCUGGUGUGGGCGAGCCGCCCCGACAAGGGUCUUGCCGGGGCUGCUGAGGCUCCCUCGGCAAGGGUCUUGCCGGGGAAACCUGCAUCGUCCAUCUGCUCUCUGUGGUCUCGGUCUUUGGUGUUGUCUUGAUACCGUGGUGUGGCUCUGAUUUCCUGUCUCCGCCAUGCCUAAGUGUGGCCGUGGGCGCGGCUCUGACUGCCCGUGCACAAAAUAAGGGGUACAAAAGAGCGCCCCUAUUUUAGUACAUCGACAUUAGGCAAAUACGGGAUCGUAGCUAAGCCCCCGAGUGAGAGGAUUGCUCUUCACUUGGAGUGUGUUUUGAAACUUAGGCAAGUACGGGAUCACAGCUAAGAACCCGAGUGAGAGGAUUGCUCUUCACUCGGAGUAUGUCUUUGAAACUUAGGCGAGUAUGGGAUCGCAACUAAGCCCCCGAGUGAGAGGAUUGCUCUUCACUCGGAGUAUGUCUUUGAAACUUAGGCUAGUACGGGGUCGCAACUAAGCCUUCGAGUGAGAGGAUUGCUCUUCACUCGGAGUAUGUUUUGAAACUUAGGCGAGUACGGGAUCGCGGCUAAGCCCCCGAGUGAGAGAAUUGCUCUUCACUCGGAGUAUGUCUUUAAAACUUAGGCGAGUACGGGAUCGCAUCUAAGCCCCCGAGUGAGAGGAUUACUCUUCACUCGGAGUAUGUUUUGAAACUUAGGCGAAUCGGGUUCGCGGCUAAGCCACCCAUUGGGGGAUUUGAACACAAGUAUAUGUGAAAAUAAUAAUUUUGCGACUACAGAAAUCAUGUCUUUGAUAAACAAUCUGAAAAGUACUUCUUAUUACAUCUCGAUGAUCCGAGUGUUUUCAGGUAUAAAAGCGGCAGAUCAGAUCUGCGUUCCAGGAGCGCGACUCGUCCUUCCUCUUGGCCACAUUGUAAAGGUGAUAUCCUCCGUUGUGCAGCACCUUGGUGACGAUGAAGGGGCCUUCCCAUGCAGGGGCGAGCUUGUGAGGCCGUUGCUAAUCCACUCGAAGCACAAUGUCUCCUUCCAGAAAUGCACAACCUCUAACGUUUCGGGUGUGGAACCGGCGAAGAUCUUGCUGAUAAAUGGUUGACCGGAUCAAGGCCAUCUCUCUCUCUCUUCCUCCAGAAGAUCAACAAUGUCUUGACGCGCCAGCUCUGCUUUCGCUUCUGAGAAGAGUUCUACUCAGGGCGCAUUGUCAAGCAAGUCACUCGGAAGUAUAGUUUAUGCUCCAUACACCAUGAAGAAAGGAGUUUGGCCAGUUCACCGGUUGGGAGUCGUCCUCAAUCCCCACAGAACGAAAGGCAGCUCCAUCACCCAAGCCCCUGCUGCAUGCUUGAGGUCGCGCAUCAAUCGGGGUUUCAGCCCUUGCAAGAUCAAACCAUUUGCUCUUUCCGCCUGUCCAUUUGACUGCGGAUGUGCCAUGGAUGCGUAGUCGACCCGAGUGCCUUGGGAAGUACAGAAAGCUCUGAAUUCAUCAGAGUCAAAGUUUGAGCCUUUGUAUGUGAUGAUGAUGUGCAGAACUCAAUAUCUGAAUAUUAACUCUCUGAUGAAAGUGAUGGUUGUUCUUGAGUCGAGGUUCUUGAUGGGCUUGGCUUCAAUCCACUUAGUGAACUUGUCGACUGCCACGAGUAGAUGGGUGAAGCCGCUUCUGCCAGUCCUCAAGGGCCCAACCAUGUCGAGUCCCCAAACAGAAAAUGGCCAGACGAGUGGAAUAGUCUUCAAAGCCGAUGCAGGUUUGUAAGACAUGUUCGAGUAAAACUGGCAACCUUCGCACUUCUCAACUAUCUCUUUAGCCAUUUUGUUUGCUCGCGCCCAGUAGAAUCCUGCUCGGUAUGCUUUGGCCACAAUGGUCCAGAGGACGCAUGGUGACCAUAGGUCCUCGAGUGAAUCUCACUUAGGAUCAGUCGACCCUCUUCUGGAGUAAUACACCACUGAGCUACGCCAGUCAUGCUUUCUCUGAAAAGCUGAUCACCUAUCAUCGUGAAGGCUUUGGAUCUGCGAACGAUCUGACAAGCUUCAUCCGCAUCCUCUAGGAGCUCCCACCUAAGCAGGUAUGAAAUGUAUGACACUGUCCAGUCGGGGAUGAUCACCAAAACCUCCAUGAUUAGGUCGACAACAGCUGGGACUUCAACUUCAGUCGGAUUAGUUGAACUUAUCGGUUGUGGGGGAUCCUAUGUAAAGGGAUCUUCUUGAAUCGACGGGGUGUGGAGAUGCUCCAAGAACACAUUACUGGGAAUAGGCUUCCGAGUGGAACCUAUUUUCGCCAGAUCAUCAGCUGCUUGAUUCUUGAGUCGGGGUAUGUGGUGGAGCUCCAACUCUUCAAACUUCUUCUCUAACUUUCUCACUGCAUUGCAGUAUCCAGUCAUGGCAGGGCUCCUGAUAUCCCACUCCUUCAUCACUUGAUUUACUGCCAAAUCUGAGUCACCAUAAACCAUCAGGCGACGGACGCCGAGUGAAAUGGCCAUAAGCAACCCAUAUAAAAGCGCUUCAUACUCAGCUUUGUUGUUGAAAGAAUCAAAGUGAAUCUGCGGUACAUAAUUGAGUCUGUCACCUCUUGGAGAUACCAGAACCACCCCAGCACCAGAACCAUUCAGCAUCUUAGAUCCGUCGAAGAACAUGGUCCAGUGUUCCGAGUGGACUUGAGUCGGUUGCUGUUGCUCAAUCCACUCGGCCAAGAAAUCUGCAAUUGCAUGAGACUUGAUAGCCUUCUUUGCUUCAAACUAGAUAUCUAGAGGAAGAAGUUCAAUCACCCACUUAGCCACUCGACCAGUUGCGUGUCGAUUAUUCAAAAUCUCUCGCAAUGGAGCAUCAAAAUGACGACUGAAACUGAGUGAUCUGUGAAGUAAUGUGCAACUUUCUUCGUGGUCAGAUAAAUUCCAUAGACAAGCUUCUGGUAAUGCGGAUACCUUUGCUUGGAUGGAGUCAAAACUUCAGAAAUAUAAUACACUGGGCGUUGAUCUUUAAAUUCCGGUUCAAGAGAAAUCUGUCUCUCAUAAAGUUUUGAAGAUCUCAAUAUCCGAUUUAAAAUCCGGUUCAAGAGAAAUUUGUCUCUCACAAAGUUUUGAAGAUCUCAAUAUCCGGUUUAAAAUUCCGGUUCAAGAAGAAUUUAUCUCUCGCAAAGCUUGAGUUCUCAGGAAAAAUUAAAGGGACCAAAGAGAGUCUGUUGCAAAGCACAACUCAAACAUAGGUACCCUGCUUUAAUGACCAUUGGGGGCUGAUCGUAUUCGAAUCUAGCUUAACCCCUUUGGCACGGCUAAUGUCGGGGAUAUACCCUGCAGUAUGACCCGGUCGGAUAUAUGACCCGGCUAGGACUUGGCGUUUCAUUGGUAACCCGCUGGAGGAUUCGCGACUCACGAGUGUGGCGGCUCACUGGUCUGAUGACUCAUAAGCCUAGCGACUCACUAAUGGCCCCGACGGCGGGUCGGUUAGAGUACUAGGCCCAAGGCCCAGAAGGCCGGCUGAUGUUAUGUUGGGCCAGCUUAAGAGGAAAGCGUAAGGAAUAUUCCCUUGUAAAGAAAGCAAGACUAGGACUCCAGUCGUAAUAGAGUAAUCCUAAUCCUACUGGGACUAGUCAUGUAACCCGCCCCUUCAACUUAUAUAAGGAGGGGCAGGGCACCCCAAGAGAGGAGAGGAAGAAAAUAAUCGCUAAGGCUAGACACAACUAGAGGAGAGCCGGUUAUGCGGCGUCUCCCUCAUGAGCAUAAUGAGACCUAGCCACAAACAACAUGUAGGGCUAUUACCGGAUGAUGUUUCCUGGGGCCCGAAGCUGUCUAAAUCCUUGUCUUAUGUGUUACGUCUCUUGUCCCGGUCAACCCCUCUCAAGCUAACACAUAGAUGUGUUGGCCUCACGACUAAGUCCUCACCCCAAGGACAUCUGCCGUGACUAAUCCACGACACAUGGUAACAUAGCAAAAACACCCGAAUGGGGGUGAUGAAGGUUGUUUUUAUUUCAUCAGGUCCAUACAUACGGAUCUGAUGGUACCCAGAAUAUGCAUCUAAGAAGGAUAAACGUUCACACACAGUCGUCGAGUCGAUGAUCUGAUCGAUGUGGGGGAGAGGAAAAUGAUCUUUCGGGGAGGACCGAUUGAUAUGCUUGAAGUCGAUACACAUACGAAGCGAAUCAUCUUUCUUAGGGACCAUGACGAUUUUGGCGAGCCACUCGGAGUGGUAAAUCUCGUGGAUGAACUCGGCUACCAAGAGCCGAGCCACCUCCUCGCCAAUCGCCUUUGUUUUUUCUGAGGCGGACCGUUGGAGAUGCUCUUUCACUGGUGUCGCUUUUGGGUCGACACGCAAACGAUGCUCAGCUAGUCCCCUGGGUACACCCGGCAUGUCAGAGGGCUUCCAUGCAAAGAUGUCCCAGUUCUGAUGGAGGAACUAGAUGAGCACGGCUUCCUAUUUGCUGUCAAAUGUCAUUGAUAUAUGAGUCGGAGCUGCAUUGGGGUCUUCCGGGUGGAUGUAAACAGGUUUGGUUUCUCCGGUCUAUUAAAAUGCAGACUCUGAGGCAGGCUUCUUGGACCGCAACAAAUCACUCGGAUCUGCAGUUUUCUGGUAUUCCUGCAUCUCCACUGCUGCCAUUUGCUCAUUGGCAAUCUUGCAUCCCUUCUGAAGGCACACUUCUGCUCUCUGUCUGUUUCCUGUGACUGUUAUCACGCCUCUGGGACCAGGCAUCUUCAACUUGAGAUAUACAUAACAUGGUCGAGCCAUGAAACGAGCAUAUGCGGGUCUGCCCAGAAUGGCAUGAUAAGCACUGCGGAAAUCCACCACCUCAAAUGUCAACUUUUCCUUGCGGUAAUUCUUGGAAUCACCAAAAACCACAUUAAGAGCAAUCUGCCCGAGUGACUUUGCCUUUUUUCUGAGAAUGAUACCGUGGAACUGCAUGUUACUCUCACCGAGUUUGGACAUCGGAAUGCCCAUCCCUUCGAGGGUCUUAGCAUACAGAAUGUUCAGCCCACUUCCGCCAUCCAUAAGGACUUUAGUCUAUCGGGUGCCCCGAACGACUGGGUCGACCACCAGCGCUUGCCGCCCAGGAGUUGCAACGUGUGCUAGGUGAUCUGAUUGGUCGAAUGUAAUGGGAGUCUUUGACCACUUCAAGUACGUCGUAGUUGCCAGAGCAACCAUAUUCACUUCCCUGUUAAUGACUUUCAGUCGACUUUUGCUUUCUACAUCAGCAAAAAUCAUCAAGGUAGCAUUGACCUUAGGGUAACCAUCAUCUUCCUCUUUUACAUCCUCUUUAUCAGAUUCUUUCUCACUGGACUAAUUCUCUCGGAAACUCUAAAUCAGAAGUCGACACUGUCGAGUGGUAUGCUUGGGUUGAAUCAAGUUGCCCUCUUCGUCUUUCUUAGUGUGAAUGUAACACGACAAAUCCAGACUAUGUGCUGACUGAACUGUGCCUGCAACCACUGACCUACUAUGAAUUCUGUUACAUGACUAGAAGACAGCAAAGUUCUGUUCCCUGAGGCUCUAAGCAAUGCUCGGAUCUACAGCAAGCCUCUACCAGCUUCUGAACGUGAUGACUGAAUUGACUCUGCUAUGCGUGCUGCUGCAACAUUUUGGAUCGGGGUGCGGUAUACCUGAGUCUCAGUCGGAAACAGAUGUCGCGCAUGUCGACUGGAUUUGGGGAUCCACUGAUGAGCGCAUUCGUUGAGUGCCUUCUCAGAUUCUCCAAACGUGUGCGCUCAGCCAAGGUGGCCAAGCACGCAGCCUCCAAGGCCCGAGCUUCGGAGGUCCCCCAAUGAUGGGGGUCUGGAGUGCCUGGACGUUGUGACGAUGCAGCUCUUCCCUCAGCUCCGCAGUGAAGGCCUCGAGGAUGUACUCGUCCUGACCCUGCGAUGGGCCGCCGCCGCCGUCGCUGUUGCGAUGAAAUCCAGGCGGACCAUGCUGGGAGUUGACCACAAGGACUUCUGCCGCUGGAUCAUUGCUCUCGCACUCAAAAAGUGAAUCCGAGUGACCAGUUGUAAGAUCAAAUAGAUUGUAAAGGGAUUCAUCGGGCUCGAUUGCCGUGACUUGAAGGGUGGUCGAUUGACGAGCCACCGCAUGCUUCACCCAACGUUGGAGUCACGAAUGGCCGGACCGCUUACGAUGGCGGAUGGACGCAACGGGAGCGGACCGAUACUGUGUCGGCGGCUGACGAAGGAGGACGCUGCAGGCACUUGCAUGGAAGUGCGUGGACUGAUACUGGGUCGACGGCUGACGAAGGAAGACGCAGCAGGCACUCGCAUGGAACUGUGCCGCCCCACGGACGGGGAGGACCUCGACGUCAAGAGGAGCUUCUUGGAGCUAGGCGAAGUCGUUGGCGAUGAAGGCGAGCGCGCCGAGACGGAUCUCGCGGCCCAAAGCCAAACCACCGCUGGAAACCAUGUUUAUGGAGAACAAAAUUUGCAACCUCACCGGAGGUCGCUCAGACGCCUGCCCCACGGUGGGUGCCAACUAUCGUGGGAGUAAGUCUGAUAGUAAGAGUAGGGGUACGUAGGAGGAGGCAAGGUCCUAGCUACGGUGAGGUUGUACACGCAAGUUUACGAGUUCAGGCCCCUCUCGGAGGAGGUAAUAGCCCUACGUCUCGGUGCCCUGAGGCUUUGUCGACUGGAUUAUGCGUGGACGUUACAAGGGGUGCGAACCCUUGUGCCUGAGGAGGGGGUGGCUUAUAUAGAGUGCGCCAGGACCCUCGCAGCCCUCAUCUACACAAGGUUCAAUGUGAGUUAAGAUAGGGGCAUUACUGGUAACGCCAGCCAUUAAUGAUCUUUAAGACUACAGAGCGAACGCCUGACCGUUGCCAUCCUAGGGUGGCUUUAAAUCUUCUAUACUCCGAGUGGUUCUUCGUAUGGUCGAGUGACUCUGCUGUGGUCGAGUGGAGUUGGGGUAUCCGAGUGAAAUCUUCUGUCGAGUGCAUUGCACUUCAAGAUGAUUCCAGUCGAUACUCUCGGUUGGUCUUUGAAUGUCUUUGGUUAUAGGGUAGUGUCCUUGGGUAGGGUACCUAGGUCAGGCCUAAGACCCUACCCUAGGUACAUGUCUUCGUCACCACCCACACUCGUCGGGUUGUUGUUGUUAUUGUCAAUGUAGUACAGGCCUAACCACACCAUAUAUCUCGAGUUCCACUCCCAGUUGUAGAACAAUGAUCAGACGAAGUACCCAUGGAUGUUGCAGCCUUCCUUCCUUCAGUAGUUCAAGUUGCAUAUCGAACACUUAAGGACCAAUCUGGUUAGCGAUUACAGCGGGACAUGUUGAUGAUGCUCAGUGUUGAUGGUUCAGUUCAGGCAUAUGCAAAGAGAAAUGGAAUCACCUUAUAGCAUCUAGGAGGUUGUACAUGUAGUCGUUGUGGUACUGUAUCUCUUAUCAUCUUGGAAGACAGUUUCCAACCUUCCAUGCAUGUUGACUAAUUAUCACUGACAAUUUAUUCAAGGACAAAAUCUUAUCGGUUGGCAACAGCAAAAUCUUCAACACCCUACCAUUCUCACUAAUGCACGCACGUAGAUUUUUUUCAUACUUCUCUUUAACAUUUUUCACCAGACUGAACAUUCCACAGGGAACUAUGUGCAGCCAACUCGAUGCUGCCUAAAAGUAGACACAUAUAUCCCCGAAAAAAAGUAGACACAUAUAUAUGUGUGUUACCAGUUCAACAUGUGAUUAAAUAAGAUGGAAACAAAUUAAAGUUAAGAGAACAUAAAGCUGCAAGAUAAAACACAAUAUAUUUACCUCAAGAAGUGCAUGUGGAAUAAUUUUGCUGGCAAUUAAUCAAAGACAUCGGUACCAUCCAAAAAGAUUUGAUUACUGCAGCCAAACUCUGAAUAUAAUUAUUGCCUGUAUAUAUCUAGCAUUGACGGUUCCCCACUUUCACACGUAGGUGAUGUUAAAAAAGUUGAACUGUUGAAACUACUUUCACGCUGUAUUUUUAUUACUUCUAUUUUAUCAUGUCAUGUGCCCGUUCAGAUAUAUUGAGUUGACCCAUUUAUUUUGGGUCCCGAUAACUGCCACACGUGUGGUGUAUCGGGUAGUUGUGCCACACGCCUCGUGUGGCAUGGACAGCAACCAGCCCACACACCUACGUGUGGGCAAAACAACUAAUGCCCACACACCUCUUUUUUUUUCCUUCUGAACCCUCUCACACGCGUGCGUGUGGGCGAAGUUGAUAACGCCCACACGCCCGUAUGUCAGGCCUCAUACCCUCCUGGUCCCGCACGCCACGCGUGACGCCCACCGCGCGCCCGCAGUUGUCAUGGUCCAGACCCUCGUCCAUAUUCGUUUAACUGCAGUUGCCAUGUCGCUGAACUACGGUUGCCAUGUCGGACAACUGCAGUUGCCAUGGUUGCUCAACUGCAGUUGCCAUGUAUGGUCUGAUCUAAUGUAGUUGCCAUGAUUUCAUAACUUUAGGAGUUGCCACAUACUAACACUAGGCAGUUGAGAGAGUUGCCAUGUCCUCACAAGCAUGCUAGGGCAGUUGUCAUGUAAAAAGGAAGAGUUGCCAUCUGCUUACGUGCACGUUAGGGCAGUUGCCAUGUACGUGCACGUUGGGGCAGUUGCCAUGUACCAUGCAAAAACACAUGGCAACUCGGUAAAAGAGAGUUGACAUCUGCUUACGUGCACACUAGGCAGUGGCCGUGUACCCUGCAAAAACACAUGGCACUCGGGUAAAAAAAGAGAGUUGCCACCUGCUUAUAAAGCACACUAGGGGCAGUUGCCAUGUGCGCUGCGAAAACACAUGGCAACUAGCAGCUUGGGUGUGGGAGAGGAGACGGGCGUGUGGGCGAGAUGGCAAAUACCCACACACUAGCCCUUGUGUGUGCGUGCAAAGUGGCGUGUGGCGCGAACUGCUGAACGCCCACACACCGGCCCCUCCGUGUGGUAAAACGGAUGUGUGGGCGACCUCUCUCACACACCACACACGCGAGUUGUCCUACGUGGCAUACAAAAUCAGCUAAUUCGUGCCAAGAUUCGUGCAGAAGUUACUGGACGGUGAUGGAGACGUGUGGGUGAGUUGGCUAAUGCCCACACGUGUGGGCGUUAACAUUUCCGUUUAUUUUUCGACUUCUUUUUUCAAGAUUCUAUAGUUAGCACAAAAUCCAAUCUCAGAGUAAGCAUUAUGGUAUAAACUAUUAGUCUAAUACAUGCCCAAGCAUAUAGCGAGCAAUUCAACUCUGUUGCUUCAACCAUUACAACAAAAUAUACAUAUUUUAAAACAUGUAAAAACUGAGGAGAGCUACUAUUGUCGCAUGCACUGCUCAAAGUAAAUUGGUUCAUCUGAACCUCCAUGGGCAGUGUGCACCAUGAUUUACAAAAGUGGAAGCACAACAGUAUGCAAAGGCAGGAGAAAAGCUAGAGAGCCGAUCUGGUCAUGGAAGAAGAUUCGGCAAUUGAAAAAGGUAGAAUGUGUGGUACCUGGUCGGAUCGGGAGCAGUUGCCCUUGACGGCGCAGACGAAGCGGAUGAUGGUGACUUGCCUCCGCGUGACGGUGGUUCUUGUCGAGCUGCUUCUGGCGCCGCCGGCAGCGCCCACAUCCUUGUCGUCCCUGCCGGCCACCUCCACAGAUCCGGAUUGACAAGAGAAAGGGGUAGGAGCGGCACAGAGGGGGCAGGGGGUGAGGGAAGGGGAAGGAAGGAGGCGACGCGCCUGGACCGAGAGGAGGCGUGGGCGAUCUGCAGCGAGGGAGAGGAAACGAGGUCUCCGGUGGUUGGGGAGAAGGUGAGGAGAGAGGCGAGAAGUGGUGGUGGUGGUGAUUGUGGGGGAGACCGCCGUUGAGUGGUGGCGGCGGCAGACGAGGGAGAGGGGAGAUAGGGUUAGGGAACGGGGGCUGGGGCUGGGGCUGGGCAUCCGUUUCUCCUAUUUUAUUUUCACCUCGACACAGUAAAAAGAUAGAUGAACAUCGCGAGAGAUCGCCCUUACACCGCACCUUAUUGUGUUUGAUGUCCUUCCAACGUCCCUGUCGGCAAUUGACACCACACUAGAGGUUUAACAAAAAAAUCAUGAUCGAGCUUUGUGCCAUGUCUAUCGCUCACCUCUUUUCCCCCUAUUUUCAAGGGAUUGGUUCGGCAUUGAUACUUGGCGUUACUAUUACCGUCUAAUGAAGAUAUGGUUAUGUUUUGAUAGUGCAUAUGCUAGGAGGCUUGCCAUUUUACACAACUAAACAAAGCUGAAUUGAGCAUAACUCAGAUGACACCGGUGCUCUCGUAUUUUCCUGAAUUUAGUUCAGGAUUUCCAGCGAUGUUCGUUUAGUGGGAGAUGCCAUUUUCAUCGACUACAAGACUCCUGUGAUGAUUUCGUCAAUCCCGAGAUGUGAUGUCGGCUCAGUAUCUCAGAGGUGUUCAUAGGGGUAGGGUGUGCGUGCGUUCGCGCGAAUUGUCCGUCUCCGUGAAAAAGCAUCACAAAAACUUACCUCUUUUUUUUUUGAGAAACAGAAACUUACCUUUGGAGUAAGGUCAUGUUUCACCGAACUCGAUCAUACGCUGGCAGCUGGCUACCCAACCUAUUUGUCUUCGUCUCCAAUCAAUGCAUGCUUUUGCCUUUUGAUAAGCAUGUUUUCCCCUUCAAAUGCCUGUAAAAAGCGAGGCAAAAAAUAGGCACGGACGAGUACGAACCGAUCGAUCCAUGGAUAUUCGCAGAUAACAUUCAGACUCAGACAAGCACUGUACAAUGGGUCUGCGGGGACUCUAGCUAGCUACAGCUUGACACAUUUACACCUCGAUCUCCAGUGGCGCGAAGCCGCGCCCAUGAACGUCGCUGUCGCCGUCACGUGGCACCCCGCACUUGCGCGCCUCUAGGUCAUGCUCUUCCUCCUCCUCGCCGGCUUUCGGGAGGAGCCACGCGUAGGCUUGCUCGGCGGGGCAUCUGCUGCACACGUACAGGUAGACCGCGAGGACGAACACCGUCAUGAAGGACAGGUACCACCCGAACUGCAGGUUCACCAGCGCCCUGGCACGGUGAAGGCUGGCCUUGCUGUGGCAGCGCACCGUGUCGCGGCCGUCCUUGCGCACCAGCGAGCACCCCUUGGGCACCAUGCUCGGCACCCACACCAUGGCGCCGAUGACCGCCAGCCACACCCCGUGGAACAUGAUGCACGCCGACCGGGCAAGGCUCACGGCGAAGCUCCGCGGGAAGCCGACGCCGAGGAGCGCGGUGCCGAGGCACGCGGCGACGACCACCUGCAGGAUCCAGUGGAACUGGCCCUCGACGCCGGCGUGGUCGGUGGAGUGGAAGUGGAAGACGAGGAGCUCCUGCGCGAACACCACGGACACCAGGAGCAGGCAGAGCGCGCGGCGCCCCGGAGCCCGAGCGCGGUCCAGGUGGACGGCGGCGCCCGCGUAGACGAUGAGCGCUAGGCAGAUGAUGGCGUGCUCGUGGUUGUGGAGCCGGUCCGACGGGAUGGAGCCGUCGGCGUCGAACGGAAGAAAGGUCGAGUGGUCCACGAACAUCUCCAUGACGAACUCGAGGGCGCUGCCGGCGAUGACGAGGGCGGGCUCGAGGUACCGCGCGCGCGGCACGGGGAACCACACCGGCGCGACGUAGGAGUCCGGGCGCUGGGAGAAGAGCCUAAUGUGGUUGAACAGGUGCCACAGGCCGACGGCGAAGAAGCCGGCGCCGGGCAGGAUGUGGCCGAUGCUGCUCCGCGGCGUGCCGCCCAUGGCCGGCGGUUGUACCUACGUAGCUGCAGGUUGGACCGAUUGACCGUUUCGUUUGAGUGGUGCGCUCGGGACAUUGGUCAGGUAUAAAAGGUGGCAGUUUGUACGAAAUUCCAGCAGGGUUGGAGGGAGGGAGCUCGUCCUUGAGUAAGUGAUAAACAUGCAAAGGAGUUGCUUGUAAGUCAGCACUAGUGUGCUUCACUGUCCUGUUCAUGUGGCAAGUUAGACCUCCGUUACUGUUUCCACACAAAGGAUGACCAAACAUGUCUUUUAAGAAAAGGUUGCAUGCCAAUUGCAAUAUUGUACUUACACUUUUGCACCUGAUCUAACAUAGCCACGUCGAUUGGGAAAUUUUGGGGCAAGGCUUUCAGAGUAGAUUUCCACGUGAACAUGUUGAGACUAGGGACUAUAUAUGGUAGAGAGAAAUCCACUUUACAACCCUGAACUUGCCACUCGGUUUAAAAUUCAACCCUCAACUCUACACCCCGAACUAACCAUCCGGUUCAAGAAUCAACCCUCCNNNNNNNNNNNNNNNNNNNNNNNNNNNNNNNNNNNNNNNNNNNNNNNNNNNNNNNNNNNNNNNNNNNNNNNNNNNNNNNNNNNNNNNNNNNNNNNNNNNNNNNNNNNNNNNNNNNNNNNNNNNNNNNNNNNNNNNNNNNNNNNNNNNNNNNNNNNNNNNNNNNNNNNNNNNNNNNNNNNNNNNNNNNNNNNNNNNNNNNNNNNNNNNNNNNNNNNNNNNNNNNNNNNNNNNNNNNNNNNNNNNNNNNNNNNNNNNNNNNNNNNNNNNNNNNNNNNNNNAUAAUUUCUUUUGAAUGAUUUUUGGUGGAUAAAUAGGCCUAAUACUAAGGUAUAUAAAAAAAUUCAUAUGAGUUGGGGGGGGGCCAUGGCCCAGGUUGGCCCCCACCAAGCUCCGCCACACUGCUCCACCCGGUUUUGAUUCCCUAGAGCAGUUUUGACCGUUUGUCUGCUGACCAGGCAGAGCCAUGUCAGAUUUUUGACCCCUCUCUCUUUUGACAUGUCUUUUGCCCCUCCUCUCUCGCGCGAGCGCUGGUUGCAUGCUCGUGCACUGGUGAACAAGAGGAACUCCCAUGCUUGCUCCGCUGCCAUGCGCACCCCCGUGCUUGCUCUGCUGCCAUGCGUGUGUGCGAGCUCGUGUGUAUCCUGUCGUGUGUGCUCGUGCUGCCUUUCUUCCCAGCAAGCGGGGGUGUGGUUAGAGCAAUACAAUGAGCAGCAGCCUAACAGGAAGUGGGAGCAACACCUCCUGCAACCACUUCGCACUCCUGAUAAAAAACGCCGGAAGCGAUAGAGCAGAGCAGCGCUCGCACGACGACACCCCACUAUUCAUCACAUGGCUGCACCAGAACAGCGCCGGCACGACACCAUGCCCGUUGCACUACCGGGGAAGGGGUACGGGCACGAUGCGCGAGUCAGGCGGUGGUCAGCUCGUAGUCUCCCACGUCAGGGGUACAGUAGCAGAUCCAGGAUUUCAUACUUGGAUGUUCAAAAAAAAUUGCAUGUUAAAAAAUCUAAUAUCUAAAAUGUUCUAUAGCAAGAACUUUUUUCCAUCAAAAUGAUAAUACCUUAUAGAAAUGACAAAAGAAACAAAGAUUAUUUACUUCAUAAUCAUACAGUUGGGGAACACAUGGCCAUUAAUAUACAAUGCAUCUGAAGACAAUGGGCAAGAAGAAUGCUAAUUACGAGCCUAGCAUAUGCAGAUAUGGCCUCGGAACACUGAGACCGAAAGGUCGAACGUGAAUCAUAUAGUAGAUAUGAUCAACAUAGAGAUGUUCACCAUUGAAAACUGCUCCAUCUCAUGUGAUGAUCGGAAAUGGUUCAGUUGAUUUGGAUCACGUGAUCAUUUAGAUGACUAGAGGGGUGUCUAUCUAAGUGGGAGUUGCUGAUGACAUCCGUAGGUGUAGACUGAUGUGUAACUCGUGCUACAACGACUGCGAUACUCUAGUGCAGGCAAACAUUGCUGCUGUCAGCUUUGGCCGGCCUUUUUUGCUGCUAAAGAUGGCACUGGCGAGAAAGGUUGGAAUACCCCUAGAAAACCGGCUAUACCAACAUGACAUUCUCUCACGUGUCCUUGUCUCUGUAACUACUACCCUAGUCUAACGUUGCAGGCCGCAUGUGCUUAGCUAGAGGAGUUGGCUAUGGAGGCAGUUAGCAUAGUGGCCGCACUUGCGUGCUCUUCAUCUCUGGGUAUAGUUUCUGUCUCUCUCUUGCUCUCCCUUCUUUUUUUUGAAACUUAACACAUUCCUUUAUUUAUUCAUCCCACCUGGGGAUCUCGUCUGAAAUUACAUGCAGAAUAACAUCCGGGGGCAUCUGGUGCCACACCGUACAGAGAUGAUCAGUCACUGUUGUUCUAGCAAGCAAGUGAGCAGCAGUGUUUGCUUCACGUCUAGCCCACGCAAUCUUCCAUUCGUCCCGCGAUGCCAGAAUAUGCUUGAUUUCUUCAAUCAGCGGUCCAAGAGAAGAUAGAUCCUUUCCCGUGCGCUGCAACAUACCUGCUACCUCCCUGCAAUCCGUCUCUAAGUAUAACCUAGGGAUGUUUAGUUCCUACGCUAAUAAGGCUGCUCUUCUCACAGCUAGUAUCUCUGCUCGCACCAGUUCUUUGCAAGGCAGGAGGAGCUGGCAUGCACCCCCCAGGAAAGCGCCUUCAUGGUUUCGGAGAACCACACCCGCACCUCCAUGCUCGGCCACCUUAGCCAUUGCGCCGUCCACAUUUGCCUUCACCCAUCCCUCUUCCGAUGGCCUCCAUUUCUCCCUCACCGCAGGAGCAGUGACCUUAGCUUUCCUUCCAUGGAUCGACUGCCACUCUGUCAUUAGGUUGAAGACUCUCCUCGCUAUUGCAUCCGCUUCUUUGAUCCGCUGCCCAUCCCUUGCAUUAUUCCUUGCCAGCCAGAGUGCAUAGACUCCCUGGGCAAGGACUGCCCGCUCAUAAUCUGACGCGUCCGCAAUCCACGAAAGUAGCCAUCUCGACAACGCACCCUGAGAGCAAGCAUUCUUCGGUGGGAUCGCCACCGGUACUCCCAAUUCCGAGUGCAUAAUCUUCCAGAAGUUUAUAGAGUGGUGGCAGCCCCAAAACCUAUGGUAGUUUGUUUCUUCCCGCCCGCACACCAUGCAAAACACCCCCGCCUUGAUUCUCCUUCUUAGCAGCUCCGAUCCCACUGCUAACUCAUUUCGUAUCAGCCUCCACAAGUGUGUCUUGACUUUGCCCGGCGCUACUGUAUCCCAUAAGUUCAUCCAGGUUUUGUGAUCGGCCACCGAAGAAGAAGACUCCGGAUGCCCCGAACGUUGUCGAUUCUGGCUCAUUCGCAGGUGGUAAGCCGAUUUGACCGUGAAAACCCCAGUUUUUUUUAUAGUUCCAUGCUUGGUAGCCCGCCAUCUCCGCCCCCCCCCCCCACUGGGAUAUGCAGGAUUUCUUGUGCUUCAUCUGGUGCAAACAUGUUCUGUACCUUGGCUAUAUCCCAUGAGGUGCCAUCCGGUCCCAACAGAUCGCUAACUCGCGUGAUCCCAUGGACAUAGUUUUGGCCCAGUGACAUCAAACUACCCUGUCUCGGGAUCCAGUUCGCGUGAUGCACAUUGAUCUUAGACCCGUCUCCGAUUCUCCAUAUAAGUCCAUCUAGCAGCAGGUCGCGACCAUGAAUUAUACUCCUGAACGUGUAGGAGCAUCCCCCUGGGCAUGUUGCGUUCAGGAUCGACCCUGUUGCGAAGUAUCUUGCUUGCAAAACCCUAGCACACAGCAAGUUCGGCUCCUGGUACAAACGCCAAGCUUGUUUCGCAAGCAUGGCUUGGUUAAAAGCCUCCGGAUCACGGAAGCCUAGUCCCCCUUCCCUUUUCCUCGUGCACAUCUUAUCCCAGGCAAUCCAAUGCACCUUUUUCUUACCAUUUGCUUCUCCCCACCAGAAGUUGGACGAUAUAGAUGACAGGUUCCCGCACAUUUUCUUUGUGAGUUGAAAGCAGCUCAUGGUAAAGGUAGGGGUAGAUUGGAGUCCGGAUUUAACGAGUACCUCCCUCGCUGUUUUUGAUAAACCUUGUCCUUUCCAUCCUGACACUUUGCCUCUAGCACUGACCUUAACGUAUUUAAACGUCCCCUCUUUCGAUCUCCCUACAACAGUAGGCAAACCCAGAUAUCUCUCGCUUAGGGCCUCAGCGUUAAUAUUGAGUACCGCCUUUAAAUCUUCCUUCCUUGCCUCCGAAGUACCCUUUCCAAAGUAAAUUGCAGAUUUCUGGAGGUUAACUUUAUGUCCCGAGGCAGCCUCAUACUCCUGCAGAAUGUUUCGAAGUGUGGUAAGAUUUUUCCCUUGAGCCCUCCACAAAAACGACACUAUCGUCAGCAAAGAGAAGAUGAGUAACCGUUGGUCCACCAUUCCCAAACGACACUCCUUUGAUGCUUUUCUCUUGCUGCGCAUUUCUAAUGAGCACUGAGAAUCCCUCCACGCAAAAAAGGAACAAGUAUGGGGAGAGGGGGUCCCCCUGCCUUAAUCCUCUUGUAGGAAUAAAACUGUGGGACAGUCCGCCAUUUAGCUUGACGGAAAACUUGGCUGAUUUAACACAUCGCAUGACCAUCUCUGUCCAGUGACUAGAGAAGCCAAAUUUUGCCAUCAUUUGCUCAAGAAAGUCCCACUCCACUCUAUCAUACGCUUUCAUCAUAUCCAGCUUUACCGCGCACAAAGGCUUCUUCCGUUUCCUUUUCCUGAUAGCAUGCAUGCAUUCAUACACGACUAACACAUUAUCCGUAAGUAGCCUUCCCGGCACAAAUGCGCUCUACUCCUCAGAUAUCAAAAAGGGGAGGACUACUUUUAGGCGGUUGGCCCGUGCCUUCGCCGUGAUUUUAUAAAGGACAUUACACAGACUUAUUGGACGAAACUGAGAGAGUAGCUCCGGUGAGUUCACUUUCGGAAUCAUCACAAUAAUUGUAUCAUUGAAACCAUUGGUUGCUGCCUUCCCCGCCAAGAACUCCCGAAUUGCACCACACACAUCAUUCUUCACUUGCUCCCAAUGGCGCUGGUAGAACAUAGCUGGUAGACCGUCUAGUCCCGGUGCCUUUGUAGGCCCCAUCUGGAAUAGAGCCACUUCAAUCUCAUCAUCAGUGAAAGGCCUUGUGAGCUUCUCAUUCAUCUCAUCCGUCACAAGAGACUCAAUAUGUUGCAAUACUCGCUGCCCCUCCCUUGAUCCGUCAUAAGCGAAUAAGUGGGCAUAAAAUUGGUCCGCCAAUAUGUGCAUCCCUUCAUCAUCCGUGCACUUUGUCCCAUCAUCUCUCCUCAAGCCUUUUACCCUGCCCUUCCGUCGGCGGUGCGAGGCUCGAUUUUGGAAGUACUGUGUGUUCCGGUCCCCGUCCGUCAACCAGUCAAUCCUUGAACGCUGUUUAUAGUAAAUUUCUUCAUGUUCAUAGAGCUCAUGCAGUUGGUCCUCGAUAUCCUUGAUUUCCUGUCUAUACCCAGUUUGAGCAGCUCGCUCCUUUGCCUCAGUAAGUUGUACCUUCAAAUGAGCAAUCUGCCUCUUAAUUGAUCCAAAAACUCUUCGACUCCACACGUGCAUGGUCUUUGAUGCAGCUCUCAGCCGGCUGCAGGUCGUUUCGAGGUCCCCCCUUGCUGAUUGGUUGCAUGGGCUUGUUCCCAUGCAGCACCCACCAUCUUGUCGUACUCUGCAUGCCUGACCCACGCCGCCUCGUAUAAAAAAGGGCGCUGCCCUCACUCCCGUCGAUCGGCCAGUGUCGUUGACGCCUUAAUUAAAAGCACUUGAUGGUCAGAUUCUUACGUCAUCACGUGCUGAACCUCGACUUCUGGAUAUAAUUGUGCAAAAGCCGCAUUACUCAUCACCCGAUCGAGCCUCGCCUGAAUGUUCUCCUCCCCAUCACGCUUAUUAUCCCAAGUAAAAGGGUAUCCCGUAAACCCCAGGUCUGCAAGACCGCUGUCGGUCAUACAGUCCUCCAAAAGCACCAUCUGAUGCAUGUUCCUCUGGUUGCCACCUUGUUGUUCAUUCUGUCUCAGUGUCUCAUUAAAAUCACCGACGCAAAGCCAUGGGAGAUCAUCUUGGGUACGUAGGUAAGGGAGCACUUCCCAAGUUUUUGUUCUUUUCUCAACGCAUGGUUCCCCAUAGAUUCCAGUGAACCUGAAGGAGACACCAUCGAUUGCUAUCGUCGCAUCAAUGUAAUAUUGGCACCACGGCCUCACCGUAACAUCCACAUGAUCCCUCCACCACAUAGCCAAGCCUACACUUUUUCCUUUACAGUCCACAGCCACACCGUGUUGAUAACCCAAGCUCCACUUUAGUCUCUCCAUUGCACUAGCCCGUUUUUUUGUUUCCGACAAAAAUACCACCUCUGGGUUGUAUGACCUCACCAGGUCCCUUAAAUCACCCACAGCCGAGUCCAACCCCAACCCUCAGCAGUUCCAGGCUAGGAUGAUCAUUGCUCUCGGCGGCCCCGCUCCCUGGCAGGGUCCGUCGUUGCCUCAUCAUGUUUCGAAAUCCUCUCAAAGACAAAAGCUGUCUUCUGCCUAGUGUCCCGCAUGAAAUUGUCUCGACCAUCCUGGUUGUCACCAACCUCUCUAGCCACCCACAUCUGACGUGGCCGUCUCUUCCUAGUAUUUGGAGUGACAUUGGGGCCACUGCCUCUUUCUCUCUUCUCCUCAUGAUCCGGUCUGGUCUUCCUAACGUAGUAUCCCCUUCUCCUCUGUCCAAAGUGGUGAGGCUGGUAUUCAUACACCCCAUCCCUGUCUCUGUUGUCAGCUUCCCGCUCCCUGCUACCUCUUGCAGCAUAGCGUGAUGUAUCAAACUCCCUUUGUCUCUGCCGGUUCUUUAGUUGUUCCCUCAGAUCCCUCUCCUUCUUCCUCUCAAGUUCAUGUCUGAGGUCCCUUUCUUCAUGCCACUCUCCUCUGAACCGAUAUUUUGUUGGGCUAUUAACCUCCGCUUGGCCCUUGUUCCGCUGCCCACCAGUGUGGGAGCUCUCCGGCCUAUCAAACUCGGCAUUCAGAUUUCUCUUUGUUGGGACAUCUUUACUUCUGACAAAACUCCCUUGCUCCUUGACACUUCCACCCGACUGCGGGGUCACAAAACUGCUCUUGUUGUUAGUCUUUCCCCCUCUUGUCUCAUUUUUGGAGCCAGUGCUCCUUCCCGGGGACGCUCUUAGCCAGCCCCCCCACUGUGUCGAAUUAUCAACAGGUGGAUCACAUCUUCCAUUUACAUGCACAAGCCUUCCAUACUCGAAACAGAAGUGAGGUAUCUUCUCAUAGUGGAAAUCAAACCACGUGCCAAUUUUGUCAUCAUGUGAUGUUUUGAGGACAAACCCCCGAACCAACGGUUCAUAGAUCGAGAUGCUUGCCCUUACUCACAGCUGAUUGCCUCUGGCCAUCCCAUCUUUGUCAACAUCUACCCUCACCACCUCCCCGAGCCAAUUCCCUAAUGCUUUCCCAAACACCUCAGUUCUUUUGCCCGGUGGCAGAUCUGUCACCUUAACCCACACAUCCACUUUAUCAAAGACCAUCUCUGAGGGCCGUAUGUUGCUCUCAUACUCUUUCAGUACUAGCACAUUGAAAUCGUAUUGCCACGGCCCGUUUGACAAUGCAUGCCUCCAAUCUCCUUCGCUACCAAAGUGGACAGCAAAAAAAUUGUCACCCAUGUCCCGGAACCUAGCCUCGUAGUGAAGUCCCCAAGUCAUUUGCAUCGUUUUCUCAAGCACAGUCUUAUUGAGCGGUCUCGGCGAGAACGCCUUCCCCACCGCCGACCACUUCAUGUUCUUGGGCAGAACCUGAUCAGGUUCCUUGAAGACGAAUCCUUCGGCUUCUUUGUCUAACAACACCAUCCCUCCCAGCCUCGCCGAGAGGCUCGACGUGGGAUCCGGCGUCUUGCACAUGGCUGGAGAGUUUGCAGAUCCCCCACUUGUCGCUUUCCCCGGAGUCGCUGUCGCCCCGGGUAUCAUCGUCGGGGUCCUUACGCUCUUCUCCUGCACCUUCUCCGCCAUCGUCGUCGGAGUCCUUACGCUCCUCUCCUUCGCCUUCUCCGCCAUUGCACCGCACCUUGGAGGAGAGGCUCCACCGGUCGCCGUCGAGGGUGACGCAGUCACCGCCCCAAACACCACCGGAUACACACCACCCCUGCCGCCGAAAACCCUAACCCUAGCGUUUGGAGGAUAUCGCCAAAACAAUCGCCUCACAAUCGCCCCUUAGCGUUUCGCGCGUGGUGGACCCGUCUCUUGCUCUCCCUUCUUACAGUAUACAACAUAUAUGACUUUUGGCAAAAAUGUCUUUUGGCAUGUUUCUCCCUAAUUCUGCACUUCUCUAAUUCUUCUCAUUUUGGCUCCUUCAAACACAUCUUGAAGAGUGACUACAGAAAUGACUUGUAAAUAGAUCUGCAAGAUCAUCAUGUGACAACAUGUGGUACAUUUACAUUGUUCAUCCAUUGCAUCUCAUGAACAACGGAGAAUUUGAGGUAGACAUCCUUUGUGAGGCACUUUCACAUAGCUCGAUCGCAUUUAUACAACAUAUGCGCCUGCGUUAUCCUCCAAAUACUUCAUAUUGCUUGCUAAACAUCCAACUCACAUGAUGCCCAUAUGUAGCGCUUCAGUCUCAUGAUCAUACACAUUCUGGUGGUGAUGCUCUAUAUAGUGCAAUUUUCUCUAAGUGGAUCCUAAAACCGGUCAACAACUUAUAGGAAUAUGCAGCUUCCACCACAUAGGAAUACUUUGCGGGUAUGUGACAUGGACGAAUAUAAGUGCUGCAAGUGAUCGGUGUCUGCAUAUCCUAGCAUGGCUGUUUUGCUCUUUCAAUGCAUUGCUCAAUAUUGUUUGCCUUUCUGGAGAUAUAAGGAGGAACAUUCUUUGUGCCUUCCCACUGCUACUUUGGGUUUUGCACGUGAGGUGGUGCAUACAACAACUAAUUUCAUGAGCGUUUCAUUUCUUAUUUUUCCAGCACGAAACAAACAAGGCCCAAUUGGUCUAUGAUAUUUUUCUUUCCCUUCUGAUUUUUCUUCUUCUUCAUGUCAUUUCCUAUUAUUUUUAUUGAUUUUUCCCUCUUUUUAUAAUACUUUUUACUUUCUCGUUAUUUUCAUUUUUUUCUUUCAAAUUCCUUUUAUUUAUUUUUAUUUGUUUUUAUCAAUAAAAUUUCGCUGGAAUUAUUUUGUGAAAAAGCAUGAUAUAUACUCCCUGUUCAACAAUAUGCAUUAUAGGUAUUUUCUUGUGUCGUUAUUUUCAGCAACAAGUGUUUUAUCUUGUUAAUAUUUUUUUAUUUUAUUAUAUAUAAAUAUAUCGUGUUCUUGUGAAGGAGCUGAAUAUUUCGUUCAACUAACUACAUUUAUAUCUAUUAUAACAAUUUCCCCGACUAGCAUGAACAUUUUGUACGACACAUACAAGCACUUUCUAUAAGUAACCAGAAAAUCUCAUAUACCACUCGUUAUUGAAAAAAAUAUUAUUUUUUUGCAAAAAAAAUCUUCAAUCAGAACAAAUAUCUAAAUAUAUGUACGUUUGUAAGAAUAAAUAGUACUCCCUCCCUUCACAAAUAUAAGAUGUUUUGAAUAUUUCAAUAUAGACUACAUACGGAAUAAAUGAAUGAACAAACAUAGUAAAACAUGUCCAUAUACAUUCGAUUCACAAAAAAAACUACUCCCUCUAAUCCAUAUUAAUGGUCGCUGAUUUAGUACAACUUUGUACCAAAUCAACGAUAAUUAAUAUGCAUCGAGGGAUUAGAACAUCUUAUAUUUGUGAACGGCAGGAGUAGAAAAUAAUAAAACAAAAAGUGAAAACAGAAAAGGAGCAAAACAUUAAGAAAAGGUUACGACAAAAAUACUAAAGCCUCAUAAAAAGUAAAAAUAGGGAGGAUGCUCGGAUUUUGUUAUUUUAUGUUCUAUUUUUAUUGGAACAUAACAAACAUUUUUUGAACCAAACUAUACACAUUGAUGAACAUUAUUACAACAUAUUGUGCAAAGGUAACAAACUAACAAUGAUGAAACACUUAGAAGGCUAUGAAUUUUUUUUACAAAAGAAGAAAUAAAUAAAUCUUGAAAGUGAAAAGAAACAUGAACAAAAAAAACAAACUGAAGAAAAAUACUCUACACUAUGAAUGGGUCACAACCUAUGUAAUGUGAGAGGGUUUGUGAAGCUGGGAAUAAAUUUGCAGGAGCAAAGUCGGGUGUAGGUAAAACAUCAGUGAGCUCCCCAAAUUCCUAUUUGGGCGCCAAAUAGAGUGCAAACCAUUCAGUCCACACACGCACUCAUUCGCUAGUCUAGGUGGGUCGCCGAUCUCCCCUCCAUGAGUUCAUUCGGCUAGGUUUCAGUGUGUUUUUUCACUGAUCUUUUGUUUGAUUUUUCGUUACUUUUCUUUUUUUCUUUCUGUUUUUUUCUUUGUUCUCAAAAAAUUAAUGCAAGCUUUGGGAACUUUUUCCUAAACUCUUGAACCUUUUCAAUUCCACGCACUUUCUCAAAUUUACAGAAAAAUUGCUAACCACUUUCACAUUUUAUGAUUUUUUUUCAAAUUCCUGAGCUUUAAUUCAAAUUUUCAAAAAAAAUUCAAAAAAACACGUUUUCCCCUAAAAUUCUUUUAAAAAAUAAUUUCGAAUACUUUUUCGAAAUUAAAACUUUCAAGUUCAUGAGCCAUUCUCAAAUUUUUGUGAACUGUUUUAAAAUUUGUGAACUUUUUCAAAUUCACAAACCUUUUUCAAAUUCGAAAACUUUGUCAAUUUUUUGAACUUUUUUUAUAUUUUUUUAACAAAUCUACGAUUUUUUUUCAAAUUCAUGAACCUUUUUAAAAAUCAAUUUAUUUAUAUAUUCUUAUUUGUUUGAAAGUAAAUGGUCAACAUAUCAACCAAGCGAGCGAGCUGCUCACUUAGUUGGGUUGGCCCGCGUGGGGGAACCGGCCAACCGAACUAACACUAGAGUUAUUUUUUGCGACUUUACCCAUGGAGGGGAUGAGAGGGUUGGGUGUAUGCGAUUUAUUUCUGUUGAUCCAUCUUUCAAAAUGAUAUAUCUCUUGGGCCGUGUGCCAAAUUACGAACUGUUUUCACCGUUGUGUUCCUUUCAUUAAGAUGUUCAGGUUAAAUCUUUCUUGAUAGGUUUCAAUGAACUUUUCUCAAGGUAACUCAUGCUCCCUACCAUACUAAAAUUGUAGUCCCCCGCAUACUAAAAUUGUGCUCUCGGUGUUAGUGUAGUUCUGCUCUCUGCGUGUAGCGCAUUUUAUUCUCCGUACAGUGUACUUGUGCUCUCUGCGUAGUGCAUUUUGUGCUCCCCGUGUAGUGAAUUGUGUGUAUCCUGUGUAGUGCAGUUGUGCUCUCGGCCUAGAGCACCUUGUGUCCCUUUAAGUGUUUUCAUGGAGAGUACACAUCUGCUUCCCCUUGGAGCACACAUGUGCUUUCCUACCUCAUAGUGAAGGGACACCUGUUCUUCCCAGCUAAGCAUACUUGUGAUUCCCUUUAAGUAGUUAUUCACUGUGGGGACUACAGUGAAUGUUCCAACCGUGUACCACACAAAAAUCAAGAAAAUCUGAAGUAAAAAGUGGGGAAAACCAAAAAAUGAACAACCCAAAAAUAUUGGACAUAGGAAAAAACAAGAAAAACGAGCAAAAACUAGAAAAGGUGGAAACCCCCCCAAAAAAAGUAAUAGACUAAAAUCUUGGGUGGGGAGCACCCAAUUCGCGAUACGUGGUGGCGUUGGAGCACUCGUCGUGUUUCCCCUUGAGUGCCCCUGAUAAGUAGUGAUUUGACAGCUUUUUACAUGAGCCGGUUUUAUCUUAUGCCUUGUAUGUAUUUUAGAGAGGAAAAUAAGAACAUGUCUAUAAUGGUUAUCUCUUAGUUUUUUGCGAAUUGAAACUUUUAUUACUCAAACCCCACCGGAAUUACAACCUAGGGCAGCAAGUUCCAACACUCUGGGAGGUGCAGAGCCUACCCAAGUCAUGGUUCUACCUUCCUCUCUAGCAAAAAUAGUUAAACAAUCACUAACUUUAUUCUGGGGUCUGCGAGUUAUCAUUUAGCUUCGUCUUCAAUAACUAGCUGUUCCUAAAUAUGCGGUGAGACCUAUUGUGCUAAGAGAUCAUGUCUUAAAUAAGAUAAGACAAGCCUUUUCUUAUGGUUUCUCUCUCCUCCACAUCAAUAUGUAUCCGACGUGGCACUUCUAAGAUAGCACCAUUGUACAUGCCCUAAGAAGGCCCACCUAGAGAGUACUGAAAGGAUCGAUAUAGUUGACUAGAGGGGGGUGAAUAGGCAACUAACAAUUUUUAGCUUUUCUUUACCAAUUUUAACUUUGCAUCAAAGUAGGUUGUCUAGAUAUGCCACUAGGUGAACAACCUAUAUGAUGCAACAACAAUAAGCACACAAGAAAACAAGGAUAGAACAUAAUAUAGCUUGCACAAGUAAAGGAGAGAGAUAACCAAAAGGGGAACCGAUGGAGACGAGGAUGUGUUACCGAAGUUCCUUCCUUUUGAGGGGAAGUACGUCUCCGUUAGAGCAGUGUGGAGACACAAUGCUCCCCAAGAAGCCACUAGGACCACCGUAUUCUCUCACGCCCUCACACAAUGCGAGAUGCCGUGAUUCCACUAUUGGUGCCCUUGAAGGCGGCGACCGAACCUUUACACACAAGGUUGGGGCAAUCUCCACAACUUAAUUGGAGGCUCCCAACGACACCAUGAAGCUUCACCACAAUGGACUAUGGCUCCGCGGUGACCUCAACCGUCUAGGGUGCUCAAACACCCAAGAGUAACAAGAUUCGCAAGGGAUUAGUGGGGGGAAUCAAAUUUCUCUUGGUGGAAGUGUAGAUCGGGGCCUUCUCAACCAAUCCCGAGCAAAUCAACAAGUUUGAUUGGCUAGGGAGAGAGAUCGGGUGAAAAUGGAGCUUGGAGCAACAAUGAAGUUUAGGGAUGGUAGAGAUAGGUCUUCUUGGAGAAGAAGACCCCUUUAUAUAUAUAGUGGGGGGGCAAAACCAACGGUUACCCACCACUCAGCCCGCGACCCGCGGUACUACCACACCACAGGAGCGGUACUACCACACGGGCCUGCGGUACUACCGUGGGCGCGGCAGGGCCUGGACCUGACCAGAAGAGCACCGACAUGGUGCGGUAGAACCGCUGGCGCGGUACUACCGCGAAUCCGUACAGUACUACCGCAUGGCAGGCAUAGUCCAGGCACGGUAGGCACGAAUAUAAAAAAUUACAUGGUCAUCGUCCUUUAAUUUAGCACACGAGAUACAACAAGAGCAUGAUCAAGAUCUUCCUUUAAUUUAGCAUGGUCAUCGUUGUGUGACUCCUCAAGAGCCAAACGAUGCCCACGCUCUUCCUCAAGAGCAUUAGAGAGAUCUGAUAUCUCAUCAGCAUAGUCACAACUAUGACCUUCCAUCUUAGAGAUGUUUCUUCAUGAGCCUCGAUCAUGUCAUUGGCUUCACCAAGUUUUUCCAAGAGAGCAACAAAGUGCUUCUUGGAUUUGCCCUUGAGCUUACUCAUAAAAGACUCAAAUUCAUUCACUUCCUCAUUAGACCCCUCACUUCCAUCAAUGCAAUCCAUCAAGGAGGGAUUAGUAAUGAUGGUGGUUUUGAUGUUGGGGGUUACCUUGUUAGUAGCUUUAGCCAUGAGGCACUUGGCGGUGAUGUUCUCGUUUUGUGAAUCGAAGAGAGACACCCGUGGAGUUGUGGCAAUGGCAAUGGAGGCCAUGGCCAUUGCUUCACCAUCUUCAUCAUCAUCAUCAUCAUCCUCAUGGUAUUCUUCUUGAACCACCAACCCUCGAGUAGGAUUCUUUUUGGUCAAGUUGUUCUUGUUGGGGAAGGACUUGGCUUUGUCUUUUCGGAUGAGCUUGCCACCAUUGUCUUCCUGCUUCUCGUAAGGGCAAUCCACAACAAAGUGGCUCACAUUGCCACAAUUGUAACAUGUUCUCACACGUUGCUUGCCCUUGAAACCACUUGAGUUGUUCUUGUUGAAGUUGGGCCUUGUGUUCUUCUUGCUCCAAAAUUGCCUUAGCAAGAGCCAUAUGUGCUCAUGAUAAUCAUAUUUUGUAUCUUCGAGGUUGAUCUCCUCAUCUUCCUCUUCUUCCUCUUCUUCCAGACUAACCUUGGCCUUCAAGGCAAGGUUGGGCUUCUUUGCUCUUUGAGAAUGCAAUACCGCGUUGUCGGCGGUCUUGUCCAAGAUCCCCAUUGCCACAAGCUCAUCCAACACUUCAUUUGAGGACAAGGUGUGGAAGUCCGGUCUUUGACAGAUGACCGAGGACAUGGCCUUUUGGUAGGGCAUCAUGGCCUUGAGGAACUUGCGUUUGAUCAAAUUGUCAUCUGUAUCCUUACUCCCAUGAUCUCGGAGUGAGACCAUGAGAGUGGUCAAUCUCCGGUAAAGCACACGAGGUUCUUCAUCUUCAUUCAUUGCAAACUCAUCGGCUUCAUCUUGCACCACUUCAUAGUUGGAGCGUUGAAUGCUAGUGCUUCCCUUGUAGAGGGAAACAACAUGGUGCCAUGCUUCCUUGGCCAUGGUGAAUGGUCGGAGAUGAGCAAUGUCUUCGGGUGGAAUUGCAUCAUGAAGGAUGAAGAGAGCAUUCUCGUUGAAUUGAUUAUCUGCGGCUUAUCUUGGAGUGAAUUUGCUUGGGUCAUGCGGAUAGAAACCAUCUUCAAUAAUUCUCCAAAGAUUAGUGUUAACAUGUUUUAAAUGACGCUUAAAGCGAUAGACCCAAGCAUCAAAAUCUUCAUUUUUCACAAUCUUAGGAUUAGGGCCGACAUGAUUUAAAUGAGUAGAGGGAAUCGGUCCUCCAUAAGUAAGUGGAGGUUCCACAUGGGCAAAGAUGUCGGUGCCAUUUUUACCACUAGUAGAAGGACCCUUUUCACUAGUAGCUUCCCCCUUGUCGGAGUUAGCAUCCAUCACCUUGUUAAUGGGAUCACCCACUUUCAUCGGCAAGGUAGAUAGUUUAAGUCCUUCUAAGAAUUUAUUAAACAUGCUUUCAACCUCGGUCGUCAUGGAGGUUUUCAAUGUGUCCAAAGCCACAUUGAAUUCCUCACGAGAGACUGCGGUUCCCCCAUCGGCCGUAGACGAGACCGGAUUCACACCAGAGUGCUCCUCCCCACCGUCUACAAUGUCAACCAUACUCUUUGGACGGCAAAGUCCUUAAAAAAGAGACGAGGCUCUGAUACCAAUUGAAAGGAUCAAUAUAGUUUACUAGAGGGGGGUGAAUAGGCAACUAAUAAUUUUUAGCUUUUCUUUACCAAUUUUAACUUUGCAUCAAAGUAGGUUGUCUAGAUAUGCCACUAGGUGAACAACCUAUAUGAUGCAACAACAAUAAGCACACAAGCAAACAAGGAUAGAACACAAUAUAGCUUGCACAAGUAAAGAAGAGAGAUAACCAAAAGGGGAACCGAUGAAGACGAGGAUGUGUUACCGAAGUUUCUUCCUUUUGAGGGGAAGUACAUCUCCGUUAGAGCGGUGUGGAGGCACAAUGCUCCCCAAGAAGCCACUAGGGCCACCGUAUUCUCCUCACGCCCUCACACAAUGCGAGAUGUCAUGAUUCCACUAUUGGUGCCCUUGAAGGCGGUGACUGAACCUUUACAAACAAGGUUGGGGCAAUCUCCACAACUUAAUUGGAGGCACCCAACGACACCACGAAGCUUCACCACAAUGGACUAUGGCUCCGCGGUGACCUCAACCGUCUAGGGUGCUCAAACACCCCAGAAUAACAAGAUCCGCAAGGGAUUAGUGGGGGGAAUCAAAUUUCUCUUGGUGGAAGUGUAGAUUCGGGGCCUUCUCAACCAAUCCCGAGCAAAUCAACAAGUUUGAUUGGCUAGGGAGAGAGAUCGGGCGAAAAUGGAGCUUGGGGCAACAAUGGAGUUUAGGGAUGGAAGAGGUAGGUCUUCUUGGAGAAGAAGACCCCUUUAUAUAAUGGGGGCACAAAACCAACCGUUACCCACCACUCAGCCCGCGACCCGUGGUACUACCGCAUGGGCCUGUGGUACUAUCGCGGGGGCCCACGGUACUACCGUGGGCGCGGCAGGGCCUGGACCUGACCAGAAGAGCACCGACAGGGUGCGGUAGAACCGCUGGCGCGGUACUACCGCGAAUCCGUACGGUACUACCGCAUGGCAGGCACAGUCCAGGCACGGUAGGCACGGAUAUAAAAAGUUACAUCUGUGACUACAUACGCUGAGAUUUUAUCUGUGCAAAAGUCUGACACGAUACUACCGUACACCAGGUGCGGUACUACCGUGUAGGGUCCGGAUGUAAAAAAUUACAUCCGCCCCUACUUCCGCUCAUGCUGCUGUGUCUGGCCAGGCUAUGCAGUACUGCCGCGCCAGAGCACGGUACUACCGCAUAGGGCGCGGAUGUAAAAAAAUUACAUCUGCCCCUACUACUGCUUGCGCAGCAGAGCCAGGCCCGAGCUCACGGUACUACCGCUCAUAAGGAGUGGUACUACCGUGGGCGCCCAUGGUACUACUGUGCCGGGGCCCGGUACUACCGCUCUGGUGAGCAGUACUACCGCCAGCUUAAGAACAUCAACACUAGGAGUCCUUCAUUUUACAAAGACACGGUGAGACGGAGGAAACUCCAAAGAGCCAAAGGAGAGGUGGUGCAAAAAGGAACGUGUGCACGUGAGAUUCCACCCAAACCUUUCCAACGCGGACCCCCUCUUAAUAGUACGGCUUUCCUACGACUCAAAACCACCGAAACGAAGCGUAGAGAAACGCCGUCUUCAAUAAUCUUUGAGGGGCAACAAAUCGUCUUGUGUUCAGUCAUGAUAUAUCUGAAAAGCUCAAUGCACACGAUUAGUCCGCAAAAGCAUUGUCAUCAAUCACCAAAACUACUAAGGGAUAACUAUGCCCUUACAAGUACCCUCUAACUAAUUCCUCCCUAGUCUGUUAUAGACAAUAGUGGGUCUGCUUUGUUCUUGCUAUUACUUAGUGGCUUUCAUUUCAACUAAACGUUCUUCUUGUGCUCUGAUUUUCAUUGUUUACUUUUUUCUCUUGUCACCUUUCUUUUGUUGAGCAAAGAUACUAAAAAGGCACCUAAUAUCAAAUAAUUAACAAGGAAAAUAGUAAUAACCAAUAUAAUGGAAAGAUAACACACGUUCCGUCCAACCUUAAAUCCUACCCUGUCUCCAUUUUGAUUUUUUCCGGUUUUCUUUCUAGACCGUUUUAACUAGACCACCUUGUAUUGACUAACCAAAUAAAAUUAUGUUUUUUUGUAUAAGGCAAUAAGUUCUUAACAAAUAAAAUCCUCAAAUUCAUUUAGGUAGGUAAUUUGUGUACAUGAUUUGAUAAGACCCUGAUAAGUACCUGACGUGUGACACGAGCACAUGGCAACUCUGAACGUUUUUGAUGGCAAGUUUAGUGACGUGAGGAUGACAAUUUUCAUGAUCCAGUUACUUUUUGACAGAAACUUACCGUGUGUCAUUGAAAUUUGCCAUCCUUGAAUGACUGAAAUUGCCAUAAAAAAAGUCAGGCCAGAGUGCCACACACCUAACGUGUGGCAUUUAUCAUUUGGGAUUUGAUAAACAUUUAUUUACAUAGUCACCUUAAUAUGGGCAGAUAAAUCACGCGCUAACAUACUAUAAUAUUCAUAUCUUGUUGCAACAACACACAAACAAUUAUCUAGUUACAUAAAAAAUCGUAAUGAUCGCCUUUUUUAUCCUUCUCUUUGUGUAAUCUAAGAUGGCAUAAAAUCCCCCCUAAUGAAUUCACCGGACAAUGCUUUUAUCAAGUAUACUUUCUUUUUGUGCACAUAAAUUACUUUGUUAAUAUGUUGUGUAGGGAUGAAAACGGCACGGAAACGGACCAAACUGGGUGCUAUCAUAUUUGUUUUCAUAUUUUUUUUACAAAAGCGGAAACAAAUACAGAAACUUCGGAAACAAAUACAGAAACAGAUACUACCGAAAACAAACACGGAGUGAAUAUAGAGCGGACACAGAAACAAAAUUGUGUGUUAACCGGAACUUAAAACCCUCUUGAAUCAUAGAGAAAUACAGACAAAAAAACAAACAAAUUGAUGGAAUUCUUAACAUGGCUACAAAAUGAUAUGGUUGUGUUGGUAAUAUAUGAUUGUAUUUUAGUAGUACAUCACAAUUCAGUAUAGAGUCUAGCUGAGUAUGUGUGUGGUAGUAAAAGUUGGUACUCAAAUGAUACAUUAUGCUCAUUCUACUCAUUGUGUUUUGUUUGGUAGUUGGGCUACAAAGCAGCCAUGGGCCUAUAGUAGAAAGGAAAUUCCAUAUUAACAGAAAUGGAAAGUUCCGUUUCCACGUUUGUUCCACCGGAAAACACCAUUCCGUUUUUGUUUCCAUUUCCGCAUAAAAAAAUCCAUUUCCAUUUCCGUUUUGUAAAAUUCCGUUUCUGUUUUCAUAUUUCCUCUCAAUUUCCAUUUUUCCUCCGGAAAAGAGAAAACUUUUCACUCCAUUUUCAUCCCUAUUGUAUUGUAUGUAUCAUGAAAAUUAUAUCAUCAAAUAUAUGUCAAAACAAAUGCUUAAUUAUGUCUUGAUUCUGUAUGACAUAAAUCACAUAGUAAAAAAAUCGAGAGUUUGGUGGCCAAAGACGUAAACUAGAGAAGUUUUAGAGGGAGAAAGUAUAGUCUAGUGAAUCGGCUGUCAAUAAAAAAAUGUACUCUUUGCCCUAAAUAAAAGUUGUGUCUUUUCGUUUGGAAGCAGCAGCUUGCAAGUUUCUUGCCCUGCUGCCCGGCCGUAGCCGUGGUUACCGAAGCACUGAAGCGAACAUCAGAAAUAAAAAUUAUAUCCAGAUUCAUAGACCAUCUAACGACAACUACAAGCACUGAAGCGAGUCGAAGGCGCGUCGCCGUCAUCGCCCUUCAUCGUCAGAAUCAGGCAUAAUUUUUCAUAAUAGACAGUCAGGAAGUUGUCAUGUUAAGGCCCCAUAGGACCAGCACCCCAAAACAACAACCGCCGAUGAUGAAAAAUAACGUAAAACGGAAGGAUCCAAACCAAAAACACACGAACUAGACGAACAACAGCAAGAUCCAAGCAAAUCCAUCAAAGAUAAAUUUGCCGAAGACACACCUCCACAAACCCACCAACGAUACUAGACGCGCAGCCGGAACGGAGGCUAGGCAGAAAGACCUCUAUUCCAUCUUCAGAAAGUCGCCAACGUCUCGCCUUCCUGAGCAGGACAAACCCUAGCAAGAUUAAAAAAACGUCUAAAAACGAAGCCCUCCCGCUGACCCUUGCCAGGAUCCAUCGCGCCUUCAUGGCUCUAAUGCCACCAAAAACGAGGCAGACCUGCGCCGACGCCGACGAGAGGCACGAACCCUAACUUUUUUUUAAGGAGAAUCAGACCGACGGGCGGCGGCUCUCCGUUCCCGUACUUGUGAGUCGUGACCUUGAUGAAUUAAUCAGCAAAGCGCAAUUGAACAUAUAAACCCUCCUAGACUCGUAGUCACGACCGUUGCCUCCAUGUCGCCUUUAAAUCGCUAUGCCACCGCCUGUAAAUUCCGUGCCCCGCCAAGGGCAUUUUAGUCAUUUCACGCACAGCAUAUAAAACGCAGCCCGCCCGUGGAGAAACCCUAGCUGCUGCCUCCGCCCGCACUCGCGCCCCCACCUACCCACAGAGCUCUUUCCCCCGAUCCCCUCCCACGAACCCUAGCCUCCUGGUGACGCCGCCCCUUCCUUCCCCCGUCCCCCUCACCCCCCCCUCCCGCCGCCGCGAGCCCCUCCCUCCUCUUCGCGUUCCGGGCGGCCAUGGGCGACUCCAUGAGCGAGACCACCGCCGUCGCGGCGCUCGUGGCCGGCGGCGCACACCACGGGGCUCGGGACGUCCGCGGUGGUGCGGGCUGUGGACCGAGAUGCAGGGCUCGGGACGUCCGUGGCGGCGCGGCCUGUGGACCGAGAGGCAGGGCUCAGGACGUCCGCGGCGGCACGGGCUGUGGACCGAGAGGGAGGGCCUGUGAUGCAUUCCGUUCGAGGGGCUGGUCAGGUUGGCGCGGGAUCUGAGCCACCGUCGAUGGAUUUCUCGCAGCUUGGCUACUGUUGCUUUGGAUCCGGUACGAUGCCCAUCUCUCUCUCUCUCUCCGAGACUCAACCAGGCACUCACUCGCUCACUCUGUUUGUGCACGCGCGUGUGCGCAGUUUCACAUCCCUAAACACCUAAGACUUAGUUCUGAAAUAUUCAGAUGCUUAUGUACUGUUCCAACUUGCCAUCUUUGUUACUCACGACCUGCUUGACGGAGAUACAAAAGAUGGAAAGAGAACAUUGCUUCUUGUAGAUAGUCUGUUAAAUUUCCAUGAAUUAACCCUUUCAGGUUUAGGUCAUAUUCAGUGGUGUCAUUUUCCUGUUUGUACAAAGUAUAUGCUGUUUGACAUUGACACGAAAGGCAGAAAAUACAAAAAAUGCAUAAUUUCCAAGACAUGAUUCUACUAACCUCAUUCUCACGUUAUCAUUCUAAUUAUCUUUUAUUUUUAGUCAAUACAAAAGUAGUUUUGGCUGUAGCCACUCUAAAACCAUAUUUGUUUGCCUCCGCACAUAGUUAAACUCGGUCUCAUGACACCAUUUGUUGUCUUCAGAUUUAGAUAAAAGCAUCACAGUUAUCAAUUUAAUUAGUAGCACCACCGCUAUGUGAUUAGGACAUCAUGCUGGCCAUCGAGGAUGAUCUGAUCAUGCAGUUCUUGUUUGCUGCCGCACAUACUUCGCAACCUGCCUUAUGGACUGCAGUUUCAUUUUUUAUGAGUUCUUGAGAUAUGUUAUUUGCAGGGAGCAUCCUGAUUUCUUCAGUUGCAAUUGUUUUGUUCAUUUACUUUUUGCAUUCUUGAUUGGCUCAAACAUGCUCAUUGUGAAAGGGCGAGGAGCCGCCGCCAUGUUUCUCCCCGAGCUCUGUGGUAGAAUGGUCUAUUUGUAUGAGAUUGUGUUUAGCGGAUGCGAAGAGCUCAGUUCUGGUAAGCUAGACCCUGAGGCGUGCAGCAGGUAUGUGGAGAUUAAGGAGCGUGCCCAUGUGAGCGGCUUCGAUUUUGUUGUGCCAAGAUCUCUGGUGGCAGGGAUUCACUUCGUUUUUUUGGUGAUGGUCAGGAGGUUAUAUAGUUUGAUGUUUCUGAAUUUUAACAAUCAUGUUUUACAGUACCCUUGACAUGAAUGAGAUCAUUGGGCUUAAAUGAGAACGAUGAGAACCAUCUGUUCUCCAUCGCAAUUAGCAUGUGUUUAAACUACUACUGCAGCAAAUGUUUGUCGUACCUUCAGUUUGUGCCGCAGAAUCUGUGUUUCAUUGGCACUUUUGUGUGUGUUUGAUUUAGUAUCUUUACCCAGGUGCUUGCUAGAGGAGAAGAUUAAUGGUCCGACACAGCUUCAUGAUGUAUGAGCUGGAGGAGAGGGCAUUGGAUGAACCAAUCAGUUCGAAGUUGUAGGUAUGCAAAAACUUCAACAUGUAUGUAUAGUAAAUUUGUAAUAGCAAAACUCUUGCUUCCUUGCGCAUAAGAGAAAAACACCAAAUUUUUUAUCACCUUAACUUGUCGAUGGCAUACCAUCCUGUCACAAACCCUCAAUAAUGUGCAACUCUUUUUUACCGGCUCUGAGAUAUUGCAUAGUGAUGUCUCACAAUUAAGAUUAUUACUGUGAAAAAUAACUGACCUCAUGUUAUCUCAUGUACUUUGGUACUGCCUUCACAUAAGAAGUUGUACACUAGAGGCAAGAACAUGAUGUGUGUGUGUGUGUGUNNNNNNNNNNNNNNNNNNNNNNNNNNNNNNNNNNNNNNNNNNNNNNNNNNNNNNNNNNNNNNNNNNNNNNNNNNNNNNNNNNNNNNNNNNNNNNNNNNNNNNNNNNNNNNNNNNNNNNNNNNNNNNNNNNNNNNNNNNNNNNNNNNNNNNNNNNNNNNNNNNNNNNNNNNNNNNNNNNNNNNNNNNNNNNNNNNNNNNNNNNNNNNNNNNNNNNNNNNNNNNNNNNNNNNNNNNNNNNNNNNNNNNGGGGGGGGGUAAAAAACCCUGGGUAUGCAUUCUUCACUUGAACAGAUUCGAUAAUUUAUCCCAAUACUCUCUUUGUAUUUAUGUCUUUGAGGAAAUCCUAUGAUAGAUAUAUUUUGUCUGUUGUUUCAUGCAUUCUUCAGCUUUAUGAUUAAUACUCCGAGAAAUUUGAAAACUUUAGUCAUUAAAUAUAUGCCCCAAGAAAUUUAGAAUGGGACCAUGGGAUUACCCCUUUUGAGGGUUUUCACCUUACAGAGGAAGAAAUUUAACAUUUUUGUUUUCAAUAUCAUUUUCCCUGACGGAUUACAUACAGGUUGUUAUUUUAUUUACAAACAUGUCAAGUGUGGUUUUUUUCGUUUUCUGUAAAGAUCAUUCACAUCUACUUUUUCGUUCCUCCCAUCUGGAUUUCUGAUUUGAUUCCAGAGUUUGGAGGUGGAUGUUACUAAAGGGAGGAAGUUGAUCACAAGUUUUCUUUCAGCAAUUGGUGAGUUACAGGUCAGCCCCAUCUCACAUCACUAAAUCUGCAACUCAUGCUUUUUCUUGCUUGAUAUUAAUUCUCGAUAUUCUUGUCACAUCCUUACAGGGAUAUCAUGUGCAUAUUUAUGAGUCUGCUUUUCUUCGGUUGAAGAUAUAUGUGUGCCUGAAGAUACAAUCUUACAUGCAUUUUCUGUAUGAUAUGAUCACUAUUUCAUUCUCUGUGUGUACGUAGGUUGCAAGAAUGAGAAGGCUCCUCCGUGCUUAACAGGAAGAGACAGGGUCGCAGCCGCACCGCACGACGGCAGGCCAUGGCGAGCCGCACCACACCAGGUGGGCUAGAGCGAGCUCCAGCGCGAGCGAGCGCACCCGUCGCCCAUGCUGGCGGUGUCCCGGCCACGAGCAACAGGAACAUAGGGUCCCUGACCAUGGCUGGAUCUCCUCCUUCUCCGUCCACAUGCGUGCAGCAGGAACUAGCAGCCGCACGGGUCUGAGCUCGGCCUCUCAAGUAGGGUGGCUUCCAUGCUGUAGCUAUUGUUCUUUUCUCCAUUUCUCUGAAGAUGCUUGCUAUCUUCAGAUCUUGCCGAGUGUUCGUCUGAGAUUCACUGUCUUGAUUUAGUUAGUGGUUUGGAUAGUAGUACUCCAUGAAUUUUCAUUUGAUCCGCUGUCUGUUGCCGCCGCCGGUAAAUUGGAUGAUUGGUGCAGUUUCACAUCCCUAAACCCAAACCCUAAGACUUAGUUCUGAAAUAUUCAGACCAUAUUUACUGAAGUGUGUCAGUGUUGGUUUACUUGUGAUACUUGCUCCAUUGUUGUGUUUAAUCAUAUUGUCUGAUCUUAUCAUAUGCUAUGCUCGCCAAGUUCAACUAUCAAUAUCUAAUUUCUCAUCUGAUUUUGACACCUUGCUCUUCUGCAGUUUUGUUUCACUUUUCAAGGAUGAGUAUCUUUACUUUGAAAAUGAACUGGUCAUAUUUCUAUUGGAAAUGAAGUGAUGUUGCUUCCCAGGUAAAUAACUGAAUUCUCUUCUACUUUAGUAGAUUCAGUAACUUUGCUUUAGAGUUGUUGUUUAACAGUAGCACUACCCUUGAGUAACUAGAUCAAUGGCUGCCACUAUGUAGAUCUUGGUUCCAGUACAUAUGAUAAUCAUGGUUCUUCUGUCUUGGUCUGAUGAUUUUAUACAUGCCAACAAGCAACCAUGCGAUAUGUUCUUUACUUCUGCACCUAACAGCAUGUUUUCCCACAAAAAAGUACAUGUGCCGCGGCAAUCAUGCAUUUUAUCAUUUUAAUAGCCAGUCAAGUUCGUCCUUCAAAUGAUACAGAAGGCAGUCAAGUUCCAUCCUCUAAUUUCUUGUGAUCAUUGUAGGACCAAUUAGGAUGUAUACCUGAAGGAGUGAAUCUACUGGUUCAGCUGAAAAUUGAUCUCUAUUUGGUUUCUGUUUUUGUGUUUGGUUUUGCCGACCGCUCGUCCUUCGUAUGCUCAUCCAUCUUGGCUGCUCUGCUUGCCUGCUUCUCCACUCUAACUCAG